rnacentral:lncRNA from 1 species
AGGGGACGGAGGGAGUCCUGUACUUCAUUGGAUUCCAAGUCUUGAAAUUAGACCUGAGGAUGCCAAUCAAAUGAUUAAGGUUAAUGUUUACUUACAAUGAAUAAAAAGUACUCAAGUCCAGCUUAGUCAAACAUAUAUGAGAUCUUGUGCUUUUAAUUCUGAUACAAAGUUGUGUAUUUUAAGUCAUAUCUAGUUUUACAGCAAGCUUAGCAUACCCCAAAGAAAGGUGAAAUCUUGUUACGUGAUGUAAUUACAAUUUUGAGACUUCCUCCAAGUCACAUCAGCAUUACAUAUGAUACUGAAUUUAAGUUACAGCUGGACUCCUUCUAAUUUCUCUAUAUAACUGAUUUACUUACCCCUUUAGAUGCACUUAUACAGAGAAGAACGUCAAACUUGGGACAAUGCUGGACCAUGUUGGUAAAUCGAUGACCUCUAUUGAUCUUUUUUGUUAAAUGCAAUUUGGCAUAAUUCUCGAAACUAACUUGAUGUUUUCUAUUAGUUCACCAUCUCUAUGCUAUAAAGAUAGUAUGGUUUCUUUCCUUGGUACACAAACCUAUUGAUUUUAUAGUGAACUUCAUAGUUUCUGUGGUGUAUACUGCAGAAGCUUUUAGUCUUUUGGCUGUCCGAAUCGAGAUAGGUUGCUUCCCAUAAUUUUUUUUUUCUCCACUUAAAAGCAGAGUUGGUGCUUCUUCGUUCACAACCUGGACGAAUAUGUUCAUUGUUCAAGAGACGCUAUAUUACUUUUAAUUUGGAAUAUGCAAGUAGUUGCAGUACUUCUUUAAAGAAUUGUUCUCCUCUGAAUGGGAUUCUUGGAUAUAGCCUACUUAUGUUUCCGUGUAUUCUAUUCAAUGUCAUGCAUACGGAAAAAAGAUGCGGGUUUUUGUACAACUUACUAACCAGAGCAAUUUUGUGAGUUAUGAAUGUUUGAUCCUAGCACAAAAUAGUUGGGGGAGGAUUGUGGGAUGACAAAACAUAUUCUCUAGUCAUUGUUGCUUGCAGAAUUUCCGGUUCAAAUUCUUUGGGAGAUGCUCAUGUUUGGGGAUUGUUCAUUUCGGUUAAGCAUAUAUUACCCUAAAGUAUUGUCAAUUAAAUUCAGGACAGAUUUGGACAAAUAAGACUGCACAAGAUGUAGGGUUCUUUGGAAUGAUCAAAUUCAGGACUUCUGACACAUACAAGUUAUGCUUAAAGAAGUCUGUCACAAGGAGAGAGAGAUUCCCAAAAGGACAGUCUUAUGAUGUGUAGUUUGGCUUGUCUGUGCAGAACUCAAAGAAUUUCAUUGGGGUUCUGCAGAACCCAUCUUCAUAGGCAAUGAAUCGUACAUAGUAAAUUUAAGAUGGGGAGGCCAUGGUAAACUUGCAGAAUCCGAGGUUGAGACUGAAAAUGUGGUUUUGGAUAACGCUCCAUUGAACGUCUGCUACAAGUUAAAUUUUUAAUGGACGGGUGAUUUUAAAUUGGGGGCUGACCAUUCUUCACUGAAUGCAUAUUUAAAUUCAUACGGGCAGCUGGUUAUCUCUGCUGAAGGAGUUUAUGAUGCUGGAACAGGGUACCUUUAUAUGGUUGGCUGUAGAAAUCUCGGCUCCAACUAUUCGCUGGACUGUGAUAUAUUACUGAGUUUUCAGUUUCCGGGAUCAGUCAAGACUAAAGCUGGUUUCAUAAAGGGUAGAAUGCAAAGCACAAGGAAACAAAGUGACCCUAUUUUCUUUGGGCACUUGAUAUCAUCUGCUUUCUCUAAUAUCAUCCUCUUUCUCUACUUUUGAGGCAAAACGAUCCCUAUGAAGGAUUGAUCUAGAGAUCACAAAUGGUUUUGAUCUCGAAUACACAUUCAUGUGUAUUUGUUUCUUUCCAACUUUCCCAUGCAAAAAAGUACCCUGAUACUGGUCCUUAUAUCUCAUUGUUGAUGCUCGUGAUACUUACAUUGGGGCACAUGGUCCCUCUUGUGUUAAACUCUGAAGCAGUGUUCAUGGCAGAGCACAAUACAAUAUAUACAAUGGUAAGUAGUUUUGUAUGGCUAGAAGUGAAUGAAGUGAUUGUAAGAGUAGCUACAAUGGUGGCCUUCCUCUUUGAAUUUCGUCUCCUCCAAAUAGCCAGGACUGCACGACAUACCGGUAAUUGUAACGAGCCGGGUUUAUCAGUUGCUGAAAAAGACUUCAUUAGUUUCUUUACCAAUGUACAUUUUUGGUGUGUUGGUUGCUUUUCCUGUGAACUUGGAGAAGAAUUACUAUGGCAGUGCACCUCGUGUACACGACUAUUUACAAGCACGGCGCCAACAACUUACCCUUUGGGGGGAUUUACAAUCAUAUGGUGGCCUAAGACUAGAUGGCUUUCUCUUCCCUCAAGUCUUGCUCAAAAUAUUUCAGAUGCCAAGUGAAAGUGCUCUGUCUAUGCCUUUUUGAACAACAUUGGUUCAUUUGUUACCUCAUGCCUACAAUCUUUAUCGACCCAGCAACUACGUUCCUCCACAUGUCAGUGGUACGUAUCUUUAUUCAAAUCCUGGUACAGAUUUUUACUCUGCUGCUUGGGAUAUUAUCAUUCCACUAGGAGGUUUGUUGCUUGUUGGAAUCAUAUUUUCGCAGCAAAGAUAUGGUGGCCGAGUUAUCCUUCCUAAGAAAUUCAGGGAGUUGGAAAUGUAUGCAAAAGUGCCAGCAAUUAGUACCUAAUGCUUAAUGACGAUGUUGCUUAUCUGGUUCAGUAAUUUCUUAAUGUAUGGUUGCUGCAUGUGUGCUUUUAAUCUAUCUCAAAAUGAUGUUUGUUUCUUAAUAUUGGUAAUUUUAUUGCAUUUCCGGUCAUUUCUACAUGACCUUUGUUCGCUUUUGGAAUAAAAAAUUUCUUUUACUUUCUUUGAUCAGCGUAUCUUGAUGUUUCUUUCGAGUAUUUUUUUUUCAAAUGUUUAGGUUUUAUAUUUAAAUUUCUGUGGGAUAUUUUUGCAUACUCUCUGAUUAGAUAAAAGAUUUUCAUAUAUGAAAAAAGCUUAUCUUUUUGAUAUUAUAUUUUGGCACAAUUUAUUGACGUAAAAAUCUUAUGGAAAAAAUAACAAUAAUAUUUGAUGAAUUGUAGCACAAGGAAUAAGAAAGCUUGAUUUUUAUGCUUAAUUGAUGUAAAAUCUUAUAGAAUUGACGCGAAUGUAGUCGGAUUUUGGCAUAUUUUUUCUAAAAUCUUGUAGAUUUUUGAGAGAUUUUCAAAAUUAUAAAAUAUACUAGUAAAAACAUCAAAAAUCACUAUUAUGAUAAAGAAAAAUUUAUGUCUUUGGUUGAGUAUCAUCAAUUUUUAAGAUAUUUAAAAUUUUAAUUCAAUAUCAUGAGAUUUUAAAAGAUUAUUUCUCAUCCUUGUUUAAUAUCAAGGGAUUAUAAUCAAUUUUUUUAAUAUUGGUUAAAUAAUUUUGAGAAUAACGUGAAGCAAAUAUAUCGUUCAAAUAAUCAAAAUAUUGAUUAUAUAUUUUAUAAAAAUCUCAAAAAAAAUUAGAAAUUUCUAAAAUUAUAAAAUAUAUUAAUAAAUCUAUUGGAAUUCUCUAUUAUAAAAUUCUAAUGAAAACAUCACUUUUCAAGCGAGUGUAUCCGAUUAGGAUUUUAAAUGAUUUUUUUUAAUUUAUCAAAUAUGAGAAUAUUCAAUUAGGAUUUAUUACAAUCCAUUAAAAUCUUGGGAUAUUUAAUUGUAAUUUUAAAUUAUCCUACAAAAUCUUGUAGUAUUCAAUGAGUUUAUAUAGAUUAUUCAGAAUUCAAGUAUAAAACUUCAAAAUCUCAUUAAUUUUUCUUGGGAUUUCAAAAAACUUAAAAUACAUUGAGAAAUCCUACAAAAUCUAUCAUAAAUUCAAAAAAAAAAUAUCAGCAUUUAAAUAUUAUUGAUUUUAAUAGAUUUUAAACCAUCUCAAUCGAAUACCAUCUGAUUUUAAGCAUAAUUUAAAUUUCUAAUUGAAUACCACCAAAUUUUAUAAAAUAAAAUAAAAUCCUAAUUGAAUAUACAAAGAUUUUAAUAAAUUUUAAACUAUUUAAUUAAAUAUUUUCAAAUUUCAUGAAUGAAUUUUUUUUUUAAAAUCUAAAUCGAAUAUAGUCUUCGGUAAAAUAAUUAUUGAUAACGUAUCUGAAUUGAAUAUACUCCCUCCAUCCCAAAUUAGAUGGCCCCGUUGACUUUGGGCACACAAUUUAAGGUUCAUUGACCGCAUAGAUAAGUGACUUAUUUUUAAAAUUUUAUUUUUGCAAAUAAAAAUUAAAAUAUGAAAUUUUCAUUUAUAAAAGAAAAAAUAAAAAAAUAAAUUUCGGAAGUAGACGGUCAAUGCACCUAAAAUUACGUGUCCAAAGUCAACGGCAACAUCUAAUUUGGGAUGGAGGUAGUACUUGGAGAGGAGUUGAAUAUCUUAUACAGGAGAUAUCUUUGUCCUUCUUAUUUAUUGCCUAAUUUACUAUUGUAAUUAUUUGAUUAUCAAAAUUCAAAUCAAUGAAAUAGAGAGUGAAAACAUAUGAUAUUGCGCACUUAUUUUCUGUCGCUGUGUUCUUGUGUCUCCUCGCUUCAAAAAAUAAAACGGUGAUACAACUUAGAGGAUUGCAAACAAGUCAUGGCAGAUUCACGGUUCUACUUUGAUUCAAGAUAUUACAAAUUAGUGUUAAUCGGUAAUAAGUUAUCAAUUGAUUUCUUUAAGUUCGCUGUUUAAAUUCCUCUUUGCCUUUUUUUUUUCAAGAUUAGGGUUUUUACAAUUCAUAAAAUUGAUUGUUGUAAACUGGGUUCCUGAAUUCAGGUCUUAAAUAGAAGGUGGAAGGUUAAAAUCUGUGAUAUUUAUAUAUCAUAAUUCAGAAUUGUGAUUAACAAUUUACUCCUGAGACUCCUAAGCCUUGAGGUAUGUAUAACUUAUUUACUCGAGUACUUAACCCUCUGUUCCACUGCCUAAUUGUGCUUGAUUGUUAGAGUUUAUUACUUAAUUGCUUUGGAGUUAAAUCUUAUAUCCUUGGACUGUGAAUAAAUAUGUUUCUGAUAUGGUGGAACUGAAAAGCAAUCUCGGUUCUUUCUUUAAAAGCUGAUAUGUUAUAAUGACAUCUGAAUCUUGUCGAAAUGGUAAAUGAUAGUCCAUUAUCGUAAUUUUCCACUGGUUUCAGAAUUUCUGUUGCAUAUUAGUAAUUAUUUUGCACUGUUGUCUGUUCCAGGUACUGAGUGAUGCAAUGAAGCACUUCAAAAACUUAAAAAGAAGUAUGAUGUUGUUGUCAAUGUACAAGGGGAUGAACCACUCGUUGAACCUGAAAUUCUUGAUGGGAUUGUUAAAGCAUUGCAGGUUAAUUUUCUAUAUUGAGAAUAAUUCCAUUUUUAUGAACUAUCAGAUAGAUCAUUCUUUUGUUCAGCUUAAUAUUUAAAUAUUAUUGUAGAGUAUUGACAUUAAGUUGUCGUUUAAAGGUGUACAAAAAUAGUAGUACCAGGAUGAACUUAUUUUCCUCCCUUUUUCGCAUCGUAAGUUGCUUACCUUUCAGUUUAUAUUAUAUUGUUUAGGCUGCUCCUGCUGCAGUUGUUAGCACUGCUGUGACAGCCUUAGCACCCAAAGAUGCUUUUGAUCUGAAUCGUGUGAAAUGUGUGGUGGAUAUCACUUAUCAGUGGUUAUGCAAGUUAAUUGUCACGAGGAUUGAUUCUUUAUAACAAGUCAGUAUAUUUGCUUUGUUACACCUGGCACUCUGUGACUUUAGAUUAACCUAUUUUGUUCUCUAAUGUCUUGCUGAAUGUAUUUAGCUUUUGGAUGUAGGUCAGGGAAAGGCACUNNNNNNNNNNNNNNNNNNNNNNNNNNNNNNNNNNNNNNNNNNNNNNNNNNNNNNNNNNNNNNNNNNNNNNNNNNNNNNNNNNNNNNNNNNNNNNNNNNNNNNNNNNNNNNNNNNNNNNNNNNNNNNNNNNNNNNNNNNNNNNNNNNNNNNNNNNNNNNNNNNNNNNNNNNNNNNNNNNNNNNNNNNNNNNNNNNNNNNNNNNNNNNNNNNNNNNNNNNNNNNNNNNNNNNNNNNNNNNNNNNNNNNNNNNNNNNNNNNNNNNNNNNNNNNNNNNNNNNNNNNNNNNNNNNNNNNNNNNNNNNNNNNNNNNNNNNNNNNNNNNNNNNNNNNNNNNNNNNNNNNNNNNNNNNNNNNNNNNNNNNNNNNNNNNNNNNNNNNNNNNNNNNNNNNNNNNNNNNNNNNNNNNNNNNNNNNNNNNNNNNNNNNNNNNNNNNNNNNNNNNNNNNNNNNNNNNNNNNNNNNNNNNNNNNNNNNNNNNNNNNNNNNNNNNNNNNNNNNNNNNNNNNNNNNNNNNNNNNNNNNNNNNNNNNNNNNNNNNNNNNNNNNNNNNNNNNNNNNNNNNNNNNNNNNNNNNNNNNNNNNNNNNNNNNNNNNNNNNNNNNNNNNNNNNNNNNNNNNNNNNNNNNNNNNNNNNNNNNNNNNNNNNNNNNNNNNNNNNNNNNNNNNNNNNNNNNNNNNNNNNNNNNNNNNNNNNNNNNNNNNNNNNNNNNNNNNNNNNNNNNNNNNNNNNNNNNNNNNNNNNNNNNNNNNNNNNNNNNNNNNNNNNNNNNNNNNNNNNNNNNNNNNNNNNNNNNNNNNNNNNNNNNNNNNNNNNNNNNNNNNNNNNNNNNNNNNNNNNNNNNNNNNNNNNNNNNNNNNNNNNNNNNNNNNNNNNNNNNNNNNNNNNNNNNNNNNNNNNNNNNNNNNNNNNNNNNNNNNNNNNNNNNNNNNNNNNNNNNNNNNNNNNNNNNNNNNNNNNNNNNNNNNNNNNNNNNNNNNNNNNNNNNNNNNNNNNNNNNNNNNNNNNNNNNNNNNNNNNNNNNNNNNNNNNNNNNNNNNNNNNNNNNNNNNNNNNNNNNNNNNNNNNNNNNNNNNNNNNNNNNNNNNNNNNNNNNNNNNNNNNNNNNNNNNNNNNNNNNNNNNNNNNNNNNNNNNNNNNNNNNNNNNNNNNNNNNNNNNNNNNNNNNNNNNNNNNNNNNNNNNNNNNNNNNNAUUCCAUUUUUAUGAACUAUCAGAUAGAUCAUUCUUUUGUUCAGCUUAAUAUUUAAAUAUUAUUGUAGAGUAUUGACAUUAAGUUGUCGUUUAAAGGUGUACAAAAAUAGUAGUACCAGGAUGAACUUAUUUUCCUCCCUUUUUCGCAUCGUAAGUUGCUUACCUUUCAGUUUAUAUUAUAUUGUUUAGGCUGCUCCUGCUGCAGUUGUUAGCACUGCUGUGACAGCCUUAGCACCCAAAGAUGCUUUUGAUCUGAAUCGUGUGAAAUGUGUGGUGGAUAUCACUUAUCAGUGGUUAUGCAAGUUAAUUGUCACGAGGAUUGAUUCUUUAUAACAAGUCAGUAUAUUUGCUUUGUUACACCUGGCACUCUGUGACUUUAGAUUAACCAUUUUGUUCUCUAAUGUCUUGCUGAAUGUAUUUAGCUUUUGGAUGUAGGUCAGGGAAAGGCACUCCAAAAUUUCCAUACACGCUUCACCAUGGAAUUCAGGUACUUCGUCUCUGUAUUGAUGCAGUAAUGCUAAGUUUUCAAUCUUGUACAAAGUUUAGAUACAAAGUUCCUCAAAUUAUAUUCAGAGCUCCUGCCGAACCCUCUGCAACUAGAUGAAGAUCUGGAACAAUAAAAAAUCCUGGAGAAUGGAUACAAGAUGAAGGUGUGUUUCUAAUUGGGAUACAUCCAUUUUCUCGAUAUUGUUAUAUUAUAUCCCUACUGUUUUAUGUUUCACCAAGAAUCUGAUGGCGGUUGCCGCCAUCAGAUUUUUGGUGAAGCAUCAUCUAUGAUGUACGUCACUAGAGGUAUGUGCCAAGUUGAAGCUUUAGAUCAGAUGAUCUGGAUUGUGUCACAUUGCCUACUUUUCACUUUCCGCAUUGUUUGCAGCUGCAGUGUACAUUAAGAUGAAGAAACCAAAUACUGCUAUAAGCGAUGCCAAUACUGCUUUAGAGGUAGUUCUUAGUUUCCUAAAUGUGCUCACAUUGUAAUUUUAUAUGGUCAAUAUUAAUACUAAAAGCAUAUUUUUCUCUCAAUGCAAUUUGUUAAUGAAGUUUCCCCCUACAGACUGGUCAGCAUGCAUGAUAUACAUAGUUUACAAAUUUCCGGUAUUAAAUUUAUUUGCUUUGUGUUUAAUUGUUUCAGAAUAUUGUAUGUGGUUAUGCGAGAGUUAUUGGAGCUUUUUGUUUUUGUAUCGAGUUUUUGGAGGAUAAACUAAUUAAACAGUGUAAUGUUUUUGUGAUAUAUAUGUGUAGUUUUAAGAGAGUUUGUGUGUGUAUGCUUAACUUAUGUAUACGGCAAAAACGUAUAAAAGACCUGUGUUGUAGUGUCGUCAUGGAGAACAGCGGGGAAAUUUCAGGUCAAAUAGUAUAAUGACAUUAUUUGGGAUAUGAAAUUUACUGGAAGUUUAAAUUCUGGUGGUUAACGGGGGAGUAUUUAAAAACUGUAAGCGGAAUAAAGAGAUUUGUAUGGUCAGUGUUAUUCAACCUAUACAUCGUCAUUUAUAAUAGUUAGUUUGAGUUGGUUGGAAGUUCUUUGGUCAGCAUCAAUGCAGAUAGAAAUCUUAGCAUAUUGUUUUGUUUCAGAAGUUUUAGGUUGGCUUAGCAAUUCAUACCCUCAGUUCUCUUUUACUAAAAGUAAACAGGGCUUUAUCUGUCUCUUGCACACAAAUCACAGACAAACAAAAUUAUACUAUAAUCUUAAGUUCACUUUUGUUGGCUAAUUUUGCUAAAAAUUUCCAGUUUUGCCAGUGGUUUGGUUUCCGCAGCAGAGAAGGUUCCCAAGGAGGGUUGGACAAUGCAGGAUGGAAUUCCAUGACCAUAAAACAACGUGCAUGAUCAUCUUGCAAUGAUCCAGGUGAAGUUUAUGUUAAUCUUUAUAUUAAUCUUAUAAUAUGGUAACGUAAAGCCCAUUUUGUCACAACCAAUCCAUACAUCAUCCAAUACCAACAAUAUAGGACUUGGUCCUUUUUGCUUCAGCGAGAACUCCAUGUAGGGAACACUUGAUCAUUUUCCAGAAAAGUAAGUUACCAAUUUAGAUGCAAUUUAAGUAUCAAUGUUUAUCCUUUCAUUGCAUCAUUGUUAAUAUGACGGGUCCAAUGCUGUUGUACUAAAAGAAAGUGAAAUGUAUACUACCGAGUUAAUAGCGAGCUUAUUACAAGUUCAUAUGUUGUUUUUCCAUUUCAGAUGAAAGGUGUUCUGAAUAUUUAAUUCAGAUAACUUAAUGAAGAAGAGGGCACAUAUUUUGAGCCCUUAUUUUACUUUUCAGAUUUUUGUGAAAAGAAUUAAAAAAAAAUGAUAUUUAUAAUAAUAAAAUUAUGAUAUCAAAUACGGGAAUUAAGACAUUCAUCAAAGUUAAACUUGCAGAAUUUUGAUGUUAUAUAUAUUGAUUCUGUAUGAAAUAAUGAAAGUAAUUGAUUGUCUCCGCCACCAUUCACAUUAAUCCCGUUAGUAGAUGUCCCGGGUGGUGCAGGAGUAUAAUUUUGAUAGCAAGGUCUUUUAAGACGUGACCAGGGAUAAAUGCAUGUAAAUUUAAUUUUGGUACUAAAUUUUAUACUAUCAUAAUUCAUUUUUUUCCAGAAAUUUUGGUACAUAAACAAUUUAGAGGGACAUCCCACAAAAAAGAGUAAAAAUGAAGAAAGACGAAAUAAAAUGUUACAAAAAAGAGUAAAAAUGAAGAAAGACGAAAUAAAAUUUAUUGAGGCCAAAUUAAUGUAAGUAAUGUAAUAUAAUUAAAUCAGUAGAACAAGGAGCUCACUUGGCGUACUAUUAUUUUCUUUAUGUCUACUUCUAAAUCCAUAAAUUUAGUUUUUAAAAUUUAAACAAAUAAGGUGUCUCAAAAAUAUAUUACCAACAUGAUAAAAUAUAGCAAAAUUUUAAUUUCUCUAAAUUUAAAUUUUUUAAAUAAUCCUUAUCAUGUCCAUGCUUAGCGGGCAACUAUUACUAAUAAUAAUUUUUUUUUAAAUAUAGUCGAAAAUCAAUAAAUCUAAAUCUAGUCAAAACAUAAAAUAGGGGACUUUAAUAUUAACUUGACUUUUCACUUUCCAUUACAAAACUCAUUCCAUCUAUAUAUUUUGUCACAAACCGAGCACUAAACUGAAGUCAAGAGAAACUAUCAACUGCUUGUUCCUAGGGACCAGGCCACCAGCCACCAGGGAAUGUUUACAGGCGCUUGCAUUGCGUUGGCAGUUGCAUCAUACGUGAUACGACCUUCUAUAACAAAAAUUAUUAUAUAUUAUACAAAUAAAAAAUUAUAAAUAUUAUAUCAUUUUAAAUCAUUAUAAAUAAAAUAUAUAAUUUUAUUUUGAUAAUAGCUAAUGUUGAAUUUUGUAACACGGCCACUCCAUAGCUUCGACAUAUAUAACCAUGCUAAAUUUUUUUAGACGUGAUUGGAACGAAGAGUUUUUUAAAUAUUAUCUAUAAUUUUAAUUUGUGAUAAAAUUUAUUCAAUUUUAUCUAAGAUUUUUAGAAAAUGGGAAAAUAGAGACAAAAUAAACAUGUUACAUGAUUAAAAUAAUUCUUCACAAAGUUAAUAUUUAAUAAGUCGCUUGAAUUUACAAAAUGAAAAAUUUAGUAUAAAAUGACUUAUACUUGUAUUUAAAAAUAAAUUUAAAUUUUCGUAGCAAAUAAUGAGAGAGUACUUUUUAUGUUAAACGUGUUUUAUAAAAUUAUGAAUGUUAUAAAAACAAUUUUACGUGUUUUCUAAUUUUUUUUCAAAUUACUCCUUAUAAAAAAAUAUUGAAAUAACUCUUGAAUAUCAUUUAUGAUUAUCAAUGACGGAUAAUCUAGUGUUGUAGCGUCCUAUUAUGCUAAACCCAGUUAGAAUAGUAUACGAAAUAUCAUUCUCUUCUAUUAAUCCCAACAGGAUGCUAUACUAACUUUCUGUUUUUUUAACCCAUCGUGUGGCAUCUAGUUCUUCUACCUAACACUACAUGAUAUAGCGUCAAAAAAUUAAUUAAAGAACGUUUUUGCACGUUAGGAAAUUUGAGACAAUAAUAUUUUAAAUUAUGAUAAUGAAAGCCAACAAUUGAGUUUUGGCGGAUUUUAACACAUCUUUUGUUAAAAUCUCGUAGAUUUUCGAGAGAUUUCCAAAAUUGUAAAAUACACUAGUAAAUCCAUUAGAGUUCACUAUUAUAAAAUUAAAAAAAAUUCGUUUUUUAAACAUCAUCAAUUUUAAAAUAAUUAAAAUUCUAAUAUGAUAUCUCAAGAUUUUAGAAGAUUGUUUCUUAUCUUUGUCCAAUAUCAUAGUAUUAUAAUCAACUUUUUCAGUACUAGUUGAAUAAUUAUGGAGAAUUUGUUUGCAUUAGCUAUAUUUUUUAAAGAAAAAUGUAUCGUUUACAAAAUUUCAAUUUUUUUAAAAAGAUUUCCAAAAUUACAAGGGACACUAGUAAAUUCAUCAGAAAUUUUUUAUUAUAAAAUAUUUAGAAAAUAUAUCUUUAUAUCACUGAUUUUUAAAAAUGUUACAAAAAUAUUUAAACUUUUAAUUCAAUAUCUCGAAAUUUCAAAAGAUAAUUUACGAUUUUUAUUAUCAAACUUUUAGGUGGUGUGUUCGACUAAGAUAUAAUGGAUUGUGUUUAAUUUAUGAAUUUUAAUGAAUUGUAUAUGACUUUGAUUUUAUGCGGAUUUUUGAUAAAAUGUCGUAGAGCUGAUGUAGAUUUUUCAAGAUUUAAGCACAAUAUUUUAAAACCUCGUCAAUUUUGUUGGGAUUUCGAAAUUUUUAAGAUAGACUGAAAAAUACCAAAAAAUCAAUCAUUUUAUAAAAUCCAAAAAAUCCAUCAGCAUUUGAAACAAUCCAAUCGAACAACAUCGGAUUUUUAAACAUGAUUCAAUAUUCUGAUUGAAUAUCACUAGAUUUCAUCACAUGAUAUAAAAUCUCAAUUGAAUAUUUCAAGAUUUUAAUAAAUUUUAAAUAAUCUCAAUUAAUACGUUCAAAAUUUGUGAAUGAAAAAAAAUCUUUUAAAAUCUCAAUUGAAUAUAGUGUCUUAUUUGAAUUGAAUAUUCAAUUAAAUCAUCGGAUUUUUAAAGAUAAUUUAAUAUCCUGAUUGAAUAUCUCCAGAUUUCAUCACAUGAUAUAAAAUCUUUGAAUAUCUCAAGAUUUUAAUAAAUUUCAAACAAUCUCAAUUAAUACUCCCUCCGUCCCUUUUUACUUGUCACCUUUGUUAUUGUACUGGUCAAAUUGAUCAAAAUUUGACUGAAAUUUAUUAAUAUUUUAUCAAUUAAAAAAAAUGAAAAAAUAUGUAAUCGGAAAUAGCUUUUAAUCUACUUUAAGAUGUAAUUUUCAAUUUUUUAAAAUAAUAAAAAAGUGACUUAUAAUUUUUGGUCAAAAGUUAAUCAAUUUAAUUAAUAAAUAUAAAAAUACGACACUAAAAAAUACAAUGACUACGUUCAAAUCUCUUAGAAUGAAAAAUAUCUUUUAAAAUCUUCAUUGAAUAUGAAUUGAAUAUUACUUCAUACGAAUUGAAUGCAGCCCACAAUCACAUCACAUAUAUAUAUUUGUAUUAUUUCAAUCGCUGUGUUCUUGUGUCUCCUCUCCUUAAAAAACUAAAAUGGCGAUACAACUUACAGGAUUGCAAACAAGUCACGGCAGAGUCACGGUUCUAGUUUGAUCUAAGAUAUUACAAUUUAGUGUUAAUCGGUAAGAAGUUAUCAAUUAAUCUCUUUAAGUUCGCUGUUUACACCUCUUUGCCUCUUUAUUUUUCCUUCAGGAUUAGGGCUUUUACGAUUCAUAAAAUUGAUUGUUGUAAACUGGGUUCCUAAAUUCAGGUCUUAAAUACAAGGUGGAAGGCUAUAAUCAUUGAUAUUUAUACAUCAUAAUUCAGAAUUGUGCUUCCUCAGAGAUCAACGAUUUACUCCUGAGACUCCUAAGGCUUGAGGUAUGUAUACAUAUUUACUCAAUACUUAACCCUCCGUUAACUGCCUAAUUGUGCUUAAUUGUCAGAGUGUAUUACUUAACUGUUUUGGAGUUAAAAUCUUAUACCCAUGGACUCUGGUUAAAUAUGUUUCAGAUGUGGUGAAACCGAAACACACUCUCCGUUCUUUCUUUAAAAGUGUAUUACAACCUUAUAUAACUGAAGUAGGCACUAAUCAAAGUGAAACUUCUGUGUGUUGGUUGGGGUGAAUGAAAAUGAAAGGAAUGGAAUGAAAUUUGAAUUACAAUUUUGUUGAAUGUUUAAUAAUUUCAUUCCUUUCACUAUUCCAUUCCAAUUAUCCUUAACUAGAGCUCAAACCCUCCACUUUGUGAAGGAAUGUAAUAUUCUUUAUCAUACCUAUUUUCUACCCAAAUCUCAUUUAACAAAAUUUGCAUUCACUCCUUAUUCAAAGGCCUACUAUGACAAGAUGUAUAAAAAUGGAAUAGCAGGGAAUUUAAUAACUACUCCAUAUCGGGAGAAUUCAAUCGUUUAUAUGAAUGAAAAAGGAAAUUCAAUAAAUCCUCCUCCAUGGAAUCAGUUGAAUGAAAGUAUUUACGAUAACAUUGGAAUCCUGACCAUGAAAGAAAUUGAUAAAUUGGUGUUUGAAGAUCUCUUAAAUUGGUGUUUGAAGAUCUUCAAGCCUAGUAGGAUCCUCAUGCAACAAUUUAUCAAUUUCUUCUAUGGUCGGGAUUCCAGUGUCAUCUUAAAUGCUUUCAUUCAAUUGUUUUGUUGGAAGAAGAGUUAUUGAAUUCCUCCUCGUUUCAUUCAUAUACACGUCUGUCUUCUCCCAACUGUUCUGUGAAGUAGUUAUCGAAUUUCUUACUAUUGCAUUCUUAUACAUUUUGUCACAGGACUUAAUCUAGUCUAAUCCACCAACAGUAGCGACAUCGUCGUAAUGAUUAUUGCCUUCAUAGUUCAUUGUUCCUUCAGCACCACAACUAUUAACUUUACCAAGCUUUUUCUUCAGAUGGACAUACAAGUAGUUUUUAAUGUCAUAAUGAGUUCUACCAGGCAGGUGUGCAGCAAUGGCAGCUUAUCUAAACAUACACGAAAUCUAUUUAGAGUCCUCCCUCCUACCCCCUAUUAUUUCCUUUUAUUUUCACACAUUCCAUUCACCCCCUACCAAACACAACAUUGAAUCCUUUGUAGCGUAUUGUUGAGCCUGUUGAACCUAAAUUAAUAUUUUUUAUAGUAAUAGUUUUAGAAUAAUGAAUACAUCUAAAUAAGUUUUCAAAUAUCUCUUUUAGCAAUUAGCGACUUUAUGUAUACAUAUUUACUCAAUACUUAACCCUCCGUUAACUGCCUAAUUGUGCUUAAUUGUCAGAGUGUAUCACUUAACUGUUUUGGAGUUAAAAUCUUAUACCCAUGGACUCUGAUUAAAUAUGUUUCAGAUGUGGUGAAACCGAAACACACUCUCUGUUCUUUCUUUAAAAGUGUAUUAGAACCUUAUAUAACUGAAAGGCACUAAUCAAAGUGAAACUUCUGUGUGUUGGUUGGUGUGAAUGAAAAUGAAAGGAAUGGAAUGAAAUUUGAAUUACAAAUUUGUUGAAUGUUUAAUAAUUUCAUUCAUUUGACUAUUCCAUUCUUAUUAUCCUUAACUAGAGCUCAAACCCUCCACUUUGUGAAGGAAUGUAAUAUUCCUUAUUAUACCUAUUUUCUACCCAAAUCUCAUUUAACAAAAUUUGCAUUUACUCCUUAUUCAAAGUCCUCCCUCCUACCCCCUAUUAUUUCCUUUUAUUUUCAUUCAUUCCAUUCACCCCCUACCAAACACAACAUUGAAUCCUUUCUAGCGUAUUUGAGAUUGUAUCAUUAAACACAUAGGCCAAUACAUUAUUCUUUUAAUUGUCCUAUUUAAAAGACCAAGACAAAUGAGUAAAUAAAAAUGCUGUUACCGGUUGCCAUUGAGAGUUUGAUGGCGGAUAAUUAUCUUAUCUUCCUCGGGGGUAAAAUUUCACCGAUAUCAGGGUUAAGAUGAUUCACCUACCUUAAUCUACAACUCUUACCAUUCCUAUGCAACCCUGUUAAAUCACAAAACUAAUCAGGAUAUAUAACCAAAUACAAACUCGCUAAAAUGAGACAUAAAUUAAUAACACAGUUUAACAAAAAAAAAGUACAUAUAUACCAGCAAGUUUAGGAAGGGUUGUCUAAUUGCAUGUAUCAUGUUUUUGGACGUAAGAUACCAACUUACUAUCUUCUUCAGAAGUCCAUGCUUCUUUCGUUUUUGCUUUUAUUUUCUCAGCCGACCUCCUUAUCUCUCUUUCUCUUUAUCAUUGACUAUAUAUAUGUAAGAGAUAAUGAGGUCAGAGAAUGAAAGAGACAAAGGAGCAUGGACUUUUGAACAAGAUAGCAAGUUGGUGUCUUAAGUCCAAAAACAUGGUACAUGCAAUUGGACAUUCGUUCCUAAAAGUAGUGGUAUAUAACUGUUUUUUUGCUAUAAUGUGCUAUUAAUUUAUGUCUCAUUUCGGAUGAGUUUGUAUUUGGUUACAUAUCCUGAUUAGUUUCAUAAUUUAUUAGCGUUGCAUAGGAAUGGUAACAGCUGUAGAUUAAAGUGGAUGAAUCAUCUCAACCCUGAUUUGAAAGGGGAAAUUUUACUACUAACGAAGAUCAGAUAAUUAUCCGUCAUCAAGCUCUUAAUGGCAACCGGUACUGGCUCUUUUAUUUAUUCAUUUCUCUUGGCCUCUUAUAUAGGACAAUGAAAAUAAGAAUUUAUUAGCGUACGUGUUUAAUAUACAAUCUUAAAGCCGCUUAUUCGUAAAAGCAAUUGCCUUCUCCUGAUUAUUCUGUUGAGUAGUUAUCGAAUUCACUACUAUUACAUUCUUACACAUCUUGUCAUAGUAGGCCUUUAUGUAGUCUAAUCCACCAAUAGUAGCAACAUCGUCAUAAUGUUUAUAGUCUUCAAAAUUCUGUUUUCCUUCAACACCACGACUGUUAACUUUACCAAGCUUCUUCUUCAGAUGGACAUGCCAGUAGUUUUUAAUGUCAUUAUCCGUCCUACCAGGCAUGUGUGCUGCAAUGGCAGCCCAUCUACACUUACACGAAAUUUAAAUAAAAUUUAAAGUGUCAAAUGCAUUAACAUAGUAACAUAAAUAUUAUUAAAGAACAAAACAUUUCAAUUGAAAUCCUUAACUGAUAUUUUUUAUAGCAAUACUUUUAGAGUAGUUAAUACUUGUAAAUAGUAAUAAAAUCUUGUUUGACAUUUUUAUUAGCGGUUUUGAGAUUGUAUCAUUAGACACAUAGGCCAAUACAUUAUUCUUUUAAUAGUCCUAUUUAAAAGACCAAGACAAAUGAGUAAAUAAAAGUGCUGUUACCGGUUGCCAUUGAGAGUUUGAUGACGGACAAUAUCUUAUCUUCCUCGGGGGUAAAAUAUCACCGAUAUCAGGGCUAAGAUGAUUCACCUACCUUAGUCUACAACUCUUACCAUUCCUAUGCAACCCUGUUAAAUUACAAAACUAAUCUGGAUAUAUAACCAAAUACAAACCCGCUAAAAUGAGACAUAAAUUAAUAGCACAGUUUAACAAAAAAGGAGUCCAUAUAUACCAGCAAGUUUAGGAAGGUUUGUGUAAUUGCAUGUAUCAUGUUUUUGGACGUAAGAUACCAACUUACUAUCUUCUUCAGAAUUCCAUGCUCCUUUUGUUUUUUCUUAUAUUUUCUCAGCCGACCUCCUUAUCUCUGACUAUAUAUAUGUAAGAGAUAUUAAAGAAUUGUUUAAAUGAGUUGCAUACAGAGUUGAUAUUUAUAGAUAUAAACCAACUAUUUAUACUUAUUCGUAAAAAAGUAAAUAUUUUUUUGCCCCGGGCGCAAAUAUUAUUUAAUAAUUCCGGAUUUUUAUUCCUUCGCCCAGACACAUUAAAACAAUAUUAUAUUCAAAUUUAUUGAUUUUUCUAGUACAAACUAAAGUUUUUCUCUUGUCAGACGAACAUACUCGAAUGGUACAUUACUCGUACAAGAAUAUACUCCAUAGAGAGGAAUUACUUUCUCGUACAAGAAUAUAUUCUGUAAAGAGGAAUUUCUUUCAUUCAAGAAUCUCUCGAGUAUGUACACUUGACAAGAAAAAACCUUGGUUAGUAAUAGAAAAAUCAAUUAAUUUGAAUAUAAUAUUGUUUCCAUGUGUCUAGGGCCAAGGAAUAAAAAUUCAUAAAUAUUAAAUAAUAUAUGGGCCCGAGGGAAAAGAAUCUUUACUUUUGUAAGAAUAGGUGAAAUAGUUGGUUUAUAUAUGUAAAUACCAACUCAAUGUGCAACUCAUUUUUGUAGUUUUUUCAUAUCUCUUGCAUAUGUAUAGUCGAAGAAAGAGAGAUAAUGAGGUCAGCUGAGAGAAUGAAAGAGGCAAAUGAGCAUGGACUUUUGAAGAAGAUAGCAAGUUGGGGUCUUAAGUCCAAGAACAUGGUACAUGCAAUUGGACAGUCCUUCCUGAAAUUGCUGGUAUAUAACUUCUUCUUUUUUUUUGCGAUAAUGUGCUAUUAAUUCAUGUCUCAUUUCGGAUAAGUUUGUAUUUGGCUACAUAUCCUAAUUAGUUUUCUAAUUUAUUAGGGUUGCAGAGGAAUGGUAACAGCUGUAGAGUAAGGUGGAUGAAUCAUCUUAGCCCCGAUUUGAAAGGGGAAAUUUUACUACUGACGAAAGUCAUGUAAUUAUCCGUCAUCAAGCUCUCAAUGGCAACCGGUACUGGCUCUUUUAUUUACUCAUUUCUCUUGGCCUCUUACAUAGGACAAUGAAAAGAAGAAUUUAUUAGCGUACGUGUUUAAUAUACAAUCUUAAAGCUGCUAAUUCGUAAAAACAAUUGCUUUCUCCUGAUUAUUCUCUUGAGUAGUUAUCGAAUUCACUACUAUUACAUUCUUGCACAUCUUGUCAUAGUAGGCCUUUAUGUAGUCUAAUCCACCAAUAGUAGCAACAUCGUCAUAAUGUUUAGUCUUCAAAAUUCUGUUUUCCUUCAACACCACAAAUGUUAUCUAUACCAAGCUUCUUCUUCAGAUGGACAUGCCAGUAGUUUUUAAUGUCAUUAUCCGUCCUCCCAGGCACGUGUGCUGCAAUGGCAGCCCAUCUACACAUACACGAAAUUUAAAGUGUCAAAUGCAUUAACAUAAUAACAUAAAUUUAAUUAAAGAACAAAACAUUUCAAUUGAAAUCCUUAGAGCAUUUCCGAUGUGCUCUUUAAACAAGCUCUUAACUUUAAAUUUAAAGAGCAAGCCAAGAAUUAGAGCUUCAAUGGGCUCUUAGAGCAUCUCCAAUAGUCUCUUAGUUAGCUCCUAUAUAUAAUGUAAAAUAUUAAGCUCCCAGGAGGUUAAUACAUUACUAAGAGUUUGAACUCCAAUAAUGCUCUCUAUACACACUCCUAACACUAUAUUUUAUUAUUAUUUAAACUCCACUAUGACAAAAGUUCAAAGUCACAUGGGUGAGAGUGAAUAUUAAAUUAUAAAAAACAAGUUAAGAGCCAUGUAGUGGCUCUUAAAAAAGAGGAGAGAGAAGGGGCUCCUAGUAUUUUUAGGAGCCACUAAGAGCCUAUUGGAGCUCCAUUUUUUCUUAUCCUCUUUAUUUUUGAUUUUAAGAGCCAAUUUAAGAGGCUAUUGGAGAUGCUCUUAGAAACUCUUUAAAAAUUUAAGAGUGUACUCUCUCUCCUUUCUUUUAAAUAGCAUCUAGUAGCUCUUAACUCAAUAUAAUAUUAAUUUCCCUCCAAUCUUCUCUUUCUUUUGGUUGACUUUUUCCUCUCAUUUAUAUAAUAUAUAUAAAUGAAAGGAAUGGAAUGAAAUUUGAAUGACAAUUUUGUUUAACGUUUAAUAAUUUCAUUCCUUUCACUAUUCCAUUCCUAUCACCCUUAACUAGAGCUCAGACCCUCCACUUUGUGAAAGAAUGUAAUAAAAUUUGCAUUCACUCCUUAUUCAAAGUCCUCCCUCCUACCCCCUAUUAUUUCCUUUUAUUUUCACUCAUUCCAUUCACCCCCUACCAAACACAACAUUGAAUCCUUUCUAGCCUAUUGUUGAGCCCGUUGAAUCCCAACUAACAUUGUUUAUAGUAAUAGUUUUAGAAUAAUGAAUACAUCUAAAUAAGUUUUCAAAUAUCUUGUUUAGCAAUUAGCGACUUUAUGAUACUGUCAUUAGAUAGGGAGAUAAAUUCUUUCUUUGAUUUCUUGUUUAAAAGACCUAGAGAAAUAAGUCAACUACUAAUUUAUUUUUAUGGAUUUUUAUCCCUUGACCCCAGAUACUAUUUAAUUUCUACACCUAACGCCUCUUGUUCGUAAGUCACAGUGAUAGUUUAACCUCUUUUUCUCAUCAUUCACUCUGACAAAGAUAUCAAACACUAAACCUAGGCACGUGGAAGCUGAACCCAUGCCCAUCUUUGUUAUCUCUUCUUGAUAUGUUGCUAUAGAUUCAAAGGUCAUUGUCACAACUUGCAAGGUGCCCAAAGGCUCAAACUAUAGUCCUUUGUUCAACCCAUGUCAUUCUUCCACUUAUAAGCUCUAUCAACUUCUGAUUCGAAAGCUUUCUCAACAAACUCAACCUUGUUCAUGGUUUAAGAACCAAUGAUAUGAGCUUCAUACUAUGGUAUGUAUAUAUUUUGACCAGUGAGAAGCGAAGCUCUAUCAUUAAUGCCUCUAGAUAUUAAAUUGACCAUGCACUUAAAAGUAGCAGGAGAUGCGAAGUCUGGAUCAUUUGGAUGAUUAUUAAUGCCUGAGAGUUGAUUUACUUCCACAGUUCCGCUCAUUAAAGAUCCAGAAAGAAGGCAUAUGAUUAAAGCUACGGGCAGACCCAUCUGAAGAAGAAGCUUGGUAAGGUGAAGGAACAAAGAACCAUGAAGGCUAUAAACAUUACAGCGAUGCCGUUACUGUUGCGGGAUCAGACUACAUAAAGGCCUACUAUGACAAGAUGUAUAAAAAUGGAAUAGCAGGGAAUUUAAUAACUACUCCAUAUCGGGAGAAGGCAAUCGUUUAUAUGAAUGAAACAGGAAAUUCAAUAAAUCCUCCUCCAUGGAAUCAAUUGAAUGAAAGUAUUUACGAUAACAUUGGAAUCCUGACCAUGAAAGAAAUUGAUAAAUUGGUGUUUGAAGAUCUCGUAAAAGGAUCUUCAAGCCUAGUAGGAUCCUCAUGCAACAAUUUAUCAAUUUCUUCUAUGGUCGGGAUUCCAGUGUCAUCCUAAAUGCUUUCAUUCAACUGUUUUUGUGGAAGAAGAGUUAUUGAAUUCCUCCUCGUUUCAUUCAUAUACACGUGUGUCUUCUCCCAACUGUUCUGUGAAGUAGUUAUCGAAUUUCCUGCUAUUGCAUUCUUACACAUUUUGUCACAGGACUUAAUCUAGUCUAAUCCACCAACAGUAGCGACAUCGUCGUAAUGAUUAUUGCCUUCAUAGUUCAUUGUUCCUUCAGCACCGCAACUAUUAACUUUACCAAGCUUUUUCUUCAGAUGUACAUGCAAGUAGUUUUAAAGUCAUCAUGAGUUUUACCAUGCAGGUGUGCAGCAAUGGCAGCUCAUCUAAACAUACACGAAAUCUAUUUAAAUUUAAAACCGUUAAAUCUAUUAUUACAGUAUCACACAUUAAAAUGAAGAACAACGCAUUUGAACCGAAAUCCUUUAGUAAUAUUGUUUAUAGUAAUAGUUUUAGGAUAGUUAAUACUUCUAAUUAAGUAUUAAAGUCUUAUUUGACAUUUUAAUUAGCGGUUUUGAAAUUGUGUCAUUAAACAAGUAAGCCAAUAAAUUCUUCUUUAAAUUGUUCUAAUUAAAAGGCCAAGAUAAAUGAAUAAAUAAGUGCUGGUACCGGUUGCCAGUGUGAGUCUGAUGGCAGAUAAUUAUCAUAUCUUCCUCAGGAGUAAAAUUUCCGUGUUUAAUACUAGGGCUACGAUGAUUCACCCACCUCAGUCUACAACUCUAACCAUUAAUCUUUAGUCUUAGUAAUUACAGAACAAGUAUUAUUUCUAUUUUUAUAGGUAAAUGCUCGUUCAGUUAUUGCCUGAUGUAGUUCCCUAAUGUGGUGGAUAACAGUGGUUAUGCAAUUUAGUUUUCACGAGGAUUGAUUCCCUAUUACAAGUCAGUAAGUAUAUUUGCUUUGUUACACCUCGGACUCUGACUUCGGGUUAGCCUUUUUGUAAAGUUUUGCUGAAUGUAUUUACCUUUUGGAUGUAGGUCAGGGAAAGGCACUCCAAAAUUUCCGUACAUGCUUGACCUUGGAAUUCAGGUACUUCAAUAUUCUUGUUAUGUAUUACUAGGCAGUGUCUGUAUUGAUGCAGUAAUGCUAAGUUUUUAAUCUUUUACAGAGUUUUGAUACAAAGUUCCUCAAAAUAUAAUCAGAGCUCCCGCCCACCCCGCUGCAACUAGAAGAAAAUUUGAAACAAUUAAAAGUCCUGGAGAAUGGAUACAAGAUGAAGGUGGGUUUCUAAUUAGGAUACAUCCAUUUUCCAAAUAUCUUCAUAUUAUAUCCCUACUCUUUUGUGUUUCACCAAUAAUCUGAUGGCGGUUGCCGCCGGUGAUAAUCUCCGACGAGGUAAUAGAUUGAGGAGCCGUGUGGUCGGGAUUAUACCCGCCAGGUAAACUUACUCGCGCUUCGAGAGCAAGUCUCUCAUUGAUAUCCCCAACAAGCCCAUGAUCCAGGUACGGCCCACUUGCUAUUUCUACACCUCAAUUAUUACUAUAUUUGUUGUUUAGUUUGACCCUUUGACUUUCUUGUGAUCGUGUAAAUAUAAUGAAUAAUGAUCAUAGUAAUGUCUAAUUUGGAGACUAGAGGUCGAGAGUUUAAGUCUUGUCAUAGUGAGAGUGUUGGAUAUAAUUUAGAAAAUAGAGUUGUAGUUUAGUUUGGUACACAGGCUUCAGACUAAUAGGUGGCCAGUCUACUAUUUGUUUAUAUUUGCGGAAAUGCAGUAAUGUUAACAUACAUUAUGCUUAUUUUAACAAAAUAAUUGUAAAUGCUAGUUUAGUUGUAACUUGUGUGCUUAUUUGUUGUAUUUUUUUAUAUUCGUAUUAGUUAGUUAAGUUACUUUUUUGUAAGUAUUUAUAAUAAGAAAUUAAGUAAUUACAAAUAUUAAAAUUGGGAUAUAAUUAUAUUUUCAAAUUGGUAUACCUAAUGCACAAUAUUUGUUAUUAAUAUUAAGAUAUCUUUUCCAGAAAUGACUAUAAAUAAAUAAUAUAUUCUAAACUAAGAACAAAGGUUUUUUUUAUCAUGUGUAUACAAUUUUGAGACCCUGAGCAAACAGAGACACAGUGCCGAUAAUCAAUUUGCACACCUUAAAAAACGGCACUGGUUCUUAUUAUAAACAAUCAUUAAUCCAUAAUUAAGCAAAAGAACUGGACUUAAUAAAAGGAGCAGAAGGAUCUUCAAGCCUAGGAUAUUCAAGCAGUAAUUUGUCAAUCUAUUCCAUAGAUGGGAUUCUAGCGUCAUCAUAAAUGCUUUCAUUUGACUAAUUCUAUGGAGAAGGAGUUGUCGAAUUCCCCAUUGUUUCAUUCGUAAAAACAAUUGCCUUCUCCUGAUUAUUCUGUUUAGUAGUUAUCGAAUUCACUACUAUUACAUUCUUACACAUCUUGUCAUAGGAGGCCUUUAUGUAGUCUAAUCCACCAAUAGUAGCAACAUCGUCAUAAUGUUUUUAGUCGUCAAAAUUCUGUUUUCCUUCAACACUACAACUGUUAACUAUACCAAGCUUCUUCUUCAGAUGGACAUACCACUAGUUUUUAAUGUCAUUAUCCGUCCUACCAGGCACGUGUGCUGCAAUGGCAGCCCAUCUACACACACACGAAAUUUAAAUAAAAUUUAAAGUGUCAAAUGCAUUAACAUAAUAAUAUAAAUUUAAUUAAAGAACAAAACAUUUCAAAUGAAAUCCUUAACUGAAAUUUUUUAUAGCAAUACUUUUAGAGUAGUUAAUACUUUUAAAAAAGUAAUAAAAUUUUGUUUGACAUUUUUAUUAGCGGUUUUGAGAUUGUAUCAUUAAACACAUAGGCCAAUACAUUAUUCUUUUAAUUGUCCUAUUUGAAAGACCAAGACAAAUGAGUAAAUAAAAGUGCUGUUGCCGGUUGCCAUUGAGAGUUUGAUGACGGAUAAUUGUCUUAUCUUCCUCGGGGGUAAAAUUUCACCGAUAUCAGGGCUAAGAUGAUUCACCUACCUUAGUCUACAACUCUUACCAUUCCUAUGCAACCCUGUUAAAUUACAAAACUAAUCAGGAUAUAUAACCAAAUACAAACUCGCUAAAAUGAGACAUAAAUUAAUAGCACAGUAUAACAAAAAAAAAGUAGAUAUAUACCUAUGCAAGUUUAGGAAGGGUUGUCUAAUUGCAUGUACCAUGUUUUUGGAUGUAAGACACCAACUUACUAUCUUCUUCAGAAGUCCAUGCUCCUUUCGUUUUUUCUUAUAUUUUCUCAGCCGACCUCCUUAUCUCUCUUUCUUCUUAUCUCCGACUAUAUAUAUGUAAGAGAUAUUAAAAAAUUGUUUAAAUGAGUUGCAUAGUGAAUUGAUAUUUAUAGAUAUAAACCAACUAUUUUUACUUAUUCGUACAAAAGUAAAUAUUUUUUUUGCCCCAGGCGCAAAUAUUAUUUAAUAAUUAUGGAUUUUUAUCCCUUCACCCCAGACAAAUUAAAACAAUAUUAUAUUCAAAUUUAUUGAUUUUUCAAGUACGAACUGAAGUUUUUCUCUUGUCAGAUGAACAUACUCGUAUGGUACAUUACUCGUACAAGAAUAUACUCCAUAAAGAGGAAUUACUUUCUCGUACAAGAAUAUAUUCCAUAAAAAGGAAUUUCUUUCAUUCAAGAAUCUCCCGAGUAUGUACACUUGACAAGAAAAAACCUUGGUUAGUAAUAGAAAAAUCAAUUAAUUUGAAUAUAAUAUUGUUUCCAUGUGUCUAGGGCCAAGGAAUAAAAAUUCAUAAAUAUUAAAUAAUAUAUGGGCCCGAGGGAAAAGAAUCUUUACUUUUGUAAGAAUAGGUGAAAUAGUUGGUUUAUAUAUGUAAAUACCAACUCAAUGUGCAACUCAUUUUUGUAGUUUUUUCAUAUCUCUUGCAUAUGUAUAGUCGAAGAAAGAGAGAUAAUGAGGUCAGCUGAGAGAAUGAAAGAGGCAAAUGAGCAUGGACUUUUGAAGAAGAUAGCAAGUUGGGGUCUUAAGUCCAAGAACAUGGUACAUGCAAUUGGACAGUCCUUCCUGAAAUUGCUGGUAUAUAACUUCUUUUUUUUUGCGAUAAUGUGCUAUUAAUUCAUGUCUCAUUUCGGAUAAGUUUGUAUUUGGCUACAUAUCCUAAUUAGUUUUCUAAUUUAUUAGGGUUGCAGAGGAAUGGUAACAGCUGUAGAGUAAGGUGGAUGAAUCAUCUUAGCCCCGAUUUGAAAGGGGAAAUUUUACUACUGACGAAAGUCAUGUUUAAUAUACAAUCUUAAAGCUGCUAAUUCGUAAAAACAAUUGCUUUCUCCUGAUUAUUCUCUUGAGUAGUUAUCGAAUUCACUACUAUUACAUUCUUGCACAUCUUGUCAUAGUAGGCCUUUAUGUAGUCUAAUCCACCAAUAGUAGCAACAUCGUCAUAAUGUUUAGUCUUCAAAAUUAUGUUUUCCUUCAACACCACAAAUGUUAUCUAUACCAAGCUUCUUCUUCAGAUGGACAUGCCAGUAGUUUUUAAUGUCAUUAUCCGUCCUCCCAGGCACGUGUGCUGCAAUGGCAGCCCAUCUACACAUACACGAAAUUUAAAGUGUCAAAUGCAUUAACAUAAUAACAUAAAUUUAAUUAAAGAACAAAACAUUUCAAUUGAAAUCCUUAGAGCAUUUCCGAUGUGCUCUUUAAACAAGCUCUUAACUUUAAAUUUAAAGAGCAAGCCAAGAAUUAGAGCUUCAAUGGGCUCUUAGAGCAUCUCCAAUAGUCUCUUAGUUAGCUCCUAUAUAUAAUGUAAAAUAUUAAGCUCCCAGGAGGUUAAUACAUUACUAAGAGUUUGAACUCCAAUAAUGCUCUCUAUACACACUCCUAACACUAUAUUUUAUUAUUAUUUAAACUCCACUAUGACAAAAGUUCAAAGUCACAUGGGUGAGAGUGAAUAUUAAAUUAUAAAAAACAAGUUAAGAGCCAUGUAGUGGCUCUUAAAAAAGAGGAGAGAGAAGGGGCUCCUAGUAUUUUUAGGAGCCACUAAGAGCCUAUUGGAGCUCCAUUUUUUCUUAUCCUCUUUAUUUUUGAUUUUAAGAGCCAAUUUAAGAGGCUAUUGGAGAUGCUCUUAGAAACUCUUUAAAAAUUUAAGAGUGUACUCUCUCUCCAUUCUUUUAAAUAGCAUCUAGUAGCUCUUAACUCAAUAUAAUAUUAAUUUCCCUCCAAUCUUCUCUUUCUUUUGGUUGACUUUUUCCUCUCAUUUAUAUAAAAUAUAUAUAUAUAUGUAGAGUCAUGCUCCAUUAAGAACCAAUAUUAGCGUGAGAUAUGAGAUCCAAUCCUAACCACUCAUUUUAUAUCUUAUAUCAAUCUCUCAUCAUACAUUAAUUUUUAAUAUUUAAAUAUUUUAUCACUGUCUUUAUUCUAAUUCCACCACCUGCCACCUCCAACCACUACCGACCACCAUUUCCGGCGACCACCAGAAAAUCACCACCGUCAAACCAAAAAUCACCACCGGAAAACUAAAAAUCACUUCUGGAAAAAUGAAAAUUACCACCAGAAUAUGAAAACUACUACACCCAGCCAUUAUUCAUGCCCACCAGAUCCGGCCACCAACAUCGUUUAUAAACUCCGGUCAUCAACAUCAUGAAAAUAAUCACCAGAUUUUACUGGAAAUCGUAACAAUAAUCGGUACGUACCACCACAUCACCACUAUCACCAUCUACAAACCACCACCACUUUCUACAAAUCCCCCAAAUCUGAAAAAUCACUGAUUACAAAACAAAAUCACUAAAAAGGAACUCCGGCCACCAACAUAAUAACAAUAAUCACCAAAAACGCCAUCAUUCAUCACCGCCAUAAGCAUCUAUACAGACCACCACCAUCUACAAACCCUUCAAAUCAGAAAAAUCACCGAUUACAAAAUAAAAUCACUAAAAGUGAAUAAAAAUGAAUAACCUGCUACUUGAUAAUGCUUGAGGUGUCAGGAAUUAAUUAGGGAGAUUGUAAUCACCAAAUGGAGGUCGGAGAGUCGCCGGAAUGCUCCACCGAUGGACUCUCGUUUGCGAGAACGGGGAAGAGUAGAGGGGAGGCAGAAAGUGACGGGGAGAUAGGGAGGAGAUGAAAGGAGGAUGAGGUUUUGUAUAGUCAAGGAUGUGGAGUGGGGUUGCGAUGUCGCCGGCGGUGACAACACCACCGCGACAUCGGUGGUAGCAGCAAAGAAAGAGGCAGGAGGAAGAAGAGAUUGACGGGAAGGGGAGAAGGGAUUGCUUGCUGUUUGUGUAUGGCCGAGCCCAUCUCAGCAGCGGCGGAGAGAGGGGGUUGAGCCAUUGACGGCGAUGACGGCAACAGGGGGUUGGGGUUUUGAAGAGGUGAGAGAAGACAGUGGGUGAGUAGUGAGGAAGAUGGGUGGAUAAAAGAAUAUUUUAAAAUAGAAAUUGUGUGGUUGCGAUUUAAUUUAGGGGUAAACAUGUGUAGCUGAGAUUAGAUCUCACAUCUCACACUAGUUGGGGUUCUCAUUUGAGCACUUGCAUAUAUAUAUAUAUAUAUAUUAUGUAUUAACUUACUAGGAGCCACAUUUUAUAUUAUUGUUUAAGGAAUGAUUUAGGAGCACCGUUGGAGAUGCUCUUAACUGAUAUUUUUUAUAGUUAAUACUUUUAAAAAAGUAAUAAAAUUUUGUUUGACAUUUUUAUUAGCGGUUUUGAGAUUGUAUCAUUAAACACAUAGGCCAAUACAUUAUUCUUUUAAUUAGCCUAUUUAAAAGAUCAAGACAAAUGGGUAAAUAAAAGUGCUGCUACCGGUUGCUGAAAAAGACUUCAUUAGUUUCUUUACCAAUGUACAUUUUUGGUGUUGGUUGCUUUUCCUGUGAACUUGGAGAAGAAUUACUAUGGCAGUGCACCUCGUGUACACGACUAUUUACAAGCACGGCGCCAACAACUUACCCUUUGGGGGGAUUUACAAUCAUAUGGUGGCCUAAGACUAGAUGGCUUUCUCUUCCCUCAAGUCUUGCUCAAAAUAUUUCAGAUGCCAACUGAAAGUGCUCUGUCUAUGCCUUUUUGAACAACAUUGGUUCAUUUGUUACCUCAUGCCUACAAUCUUUAUCGACCCAGCAACUACGUUCCUCCACAUGUCAGUGGUACGUAUCUUUAUUCAAAUCCUGGUACAGAUUUUUACUCUGCUGCUUGGGAUAUUAUCAUUCCACUAGGAGGUUUGUUGCUUGUUGGAAUCAUAUUUUCGCAGCAAAGAUAUGGUGGCCGAGUUAUCCUUCCUAAGAAAUUCAGGGAGUUGGAAAUGUAUGCAAAAGUGCCAGCAAUUAGUACCUAAUGCUUAAUGAGGAUGUUGCUUAUCUGGUUCAGUAAUUUCUUAAUGUAUGGUUGCUGCAUGUGUGCUUUUUAUUUAUCUCAAAAUGAUGUUUGUUUCUUAAUAUUGGUAAUUUUAUUGCAUUUCCGGCCAUUUCUACAUGACUUUUGUUCGGUUGGUAGACUUUUUGGAAUAAAAUUUUUCUUUUACUUUCUUUGAUCCGCGUAUCCUGAUGUUUCUUUGGGGUAUUUUUUUCCAAACGCUUAGGUUUUAUAUUUAUAUUUUUGUGGGAUAUUUUUGCAUACUCUCUGAUUAGAUAAAAGAUUUUUAUGAAAGAAGUCUACCUUUUUUGAUGUUGUAUUUUGGCAAAAUUCAUUGACGUAAAAAUCUUAUGAAAAAAAUGACAAUAAUAUUUGAUGAAUUGUAGGACAAGGUAUAAGAAAGCUUGAUUUUUAUGGAUUAAUUGAUGUAAAAUCUUAUAGAAUUGACGCGAGUGUAGUCGGAUUUUGGCAUAUUUUUUCUAAACUCUUGUAGAUUUUUGAGAGAUUUUCAAAAUUAUAAAAUACACUAGUAAAACCAUCAAAAUUCACUAUUCUCAGAUAAAGAAAAAUUUCGUCUUUUGUUGAGUAUCAUCAAUUUUUAUGAUAUUUAAAAUUUUAAUUCAAUAUCACGAGAUUUUAAAAAAUUAUUUCUCAUCCUUGUUUAAUAUCACGGGAUUUAAUCAAUUAAUGUUGGUUAAAUAAUUUUGAGAAUAACGUGAAGCAAAUAUAUCGUUCAAAAUAUUGAUUAUAUAUUUUAUAAAAAUCUUAAAGUUUUUUUAGAGAUUUCUAAAAUUAUAACAUAUAUUAAUAAAUCCAUUGGAAUUCUCUACUAUAAAAUCCAAAAAAAGAAAAAACAUCACUUUUUAAGUGGGUGUAUCCGAUUUGGAUUUUAAAUGAUUUUUUUUAAUUCAUCAAAUCUGAGGAUAUUCAAUUAGGAUCUAUUAAAAUUUUGAGAUAUUUAAUUGUGAUUUUCAAUUAUUCUACAAUAUCUUGUACUAUUCAAUAAGUUUAUAUAGAUUCUUCAGAAUUCAAGUACAACACUUUAAAAUCUCAUGAAUUUUGGUGGGAUUUCAAAAAAACUUAAAAUAUAUUGAGAAAUCUUACAAAAUUUAUCAUAAAUUCAAAAAAAAAAUAUCAGCAUUGAAAUAUUAUAAAUUUUAAUGAAUUUUAAACAAUCUUAAUUGGAUACCAUCUAAUUUUAAACAUAAUUUAAAUUUCUGAUUAAAUACCACCAGAUUUUAUAAAAUAAAAUCUUAAUUAAAUAUGCGAAGAUUUUAAACUAUUUAAUUAAAUAUUCUCAGAUUUCAUGAAUGAAAAAAAUCUUUUAAAAUCUCGAAUCUAAUAUAGUUUUGGGUUAAAAUAACUUUUUUUCUCUUUCAGGGAGUUAAAAUAACUAUUGAUAAUAUAUCUGAAUUGAAUAUACCUUGGGGAGGAGUUGAAUAUCUCUUUGUACGGGAGAUAUCUUUCUUGUUCUUAUUUAUUGCCAUUUUACUGUUGUAAUUUUUGAACAUAAUUUAAUAUUCUAAUUGAAUAUCAUCAGAUUUCAUCACAUGAUAUAAAAUCUCAAUUGAAUAUUUCAAUAUUUUAAUAAAUUUUAAAUAAUCACAAUUAAUACUUUCAAAAUUUGUGAAUGAAAAAAUCUUUUAAAAUCUCAAUUGAAUAUAACGUCUUAUUUGAAUUGAAUAUUCAAUUGAAACAUCGGAUUUUUAAACAUAAUUUAAUAUUCUGAUUGAAUAUCACCAUAUUUCAUCACAUGGUAUAAAAUCUUAAUUGAAUAUCUCAAGAUUUUAAUAAAUUUCAAACAAUCUCAAUUAAUACUACCUCCGUCCCUUUUUACUUGUCACCUUUGUUAUUGUGCUGGUCAAAUUGAUUAAAACUUGACUGAAAUUUAUAAAUAUUUUAUCAACUGAAAAAACAAAAAAAAAUAUGUCAUCGAAAAUAAUUUUUAAUCUACACUAAGAUGUAAAGUUCAGUUUUUUAAUAUAAUAAAAAAGUGACUGAUAAUUUUUGGUCAAAAGUUAGUCAAUUUGAUCAAUAAAAAUAAAUAUAAAACAAUUAAAAAGCAAAAUAUCUUUAAAAUCUCGAUUGAAUAUUCCUUCAUACGAAUUGAAUGCAGCUCAAAAUCACAUCACAUAUAUAUAUAUAUUUUGAAUUAUUUCAAUCGCUGUGUUUUUGUGUCUCCUCCUCUUAAAAAAAUAAAAUGGCGAUACAACUUACAGGAUUGCAAACAAGUCACGGCAGAGUCACGGUUGAUAUUACAAAUUAGUGUUAAUCGGUAAGAAGUUAUGAAUUAAUUUCUUUAAGUUCGCUGUUUAAAUCCCUCUUUGCCCCCCCUCCUCUCUCCUUUUCAAGAUUAGGGUUUUUACAAUUCAUAAAAUUGAUUGUUGUAAACUGGGUUCCUGAAUUCAGGUCUUAAAUAGAAGGUGGAAGGUUAAAAUCUGUGAUAUUUAUAUAUCAUAAUUCAGAAUUGUGAUUAACAAUUUACUCCUGAGACUCCUAAGCCUUGAGGUAUGUAUAACUUAUUUACUCGAGUACUUAACCCUCUGUUCCACUGCCUAAUUGUGCUUGAUUGUUAGAGUUUAUUACUUAAUUGCUUUGGAGUUUAAAUCUUAUACCCUUGGACUGUGAAUAAAUGUGUUUCAGAUAUGGUGAAACUGAAACGCAAUCUCGGUUCUUUCUUUAAAAGCUGAUAUGUAAUAAUGACAUCCGAAUCUUGUCGAAAUGGUAAAUGAUAGUCCAUUAUCGUAAUUUUCCACUGGUUUCAGAAUUUCUGUUGCAUAUUAGUAAUUAUUUUGCACUGUUGUCUGUUCCAGGUACUGAGUGAUGUAAUGAAGCACUUCAAAAACUUAAAAAGAAGUAUGAUGUUGUUGUCAAUGUACAAGGGGAUGAACCACUCAUUGAACCUGAAAUUCUUGAUGGGAUUGUUAAAGCAUUGCAGGUUAAUUUGCUAUAUUGAGAAUUAUUCCAUUUUUAUGAACUAUCAGAUAGAUCAUUCUUUUGUUCAGCUUAAUAUUUAAAUAUUAUUGUAGAGUAUUGACAUUAAGUUGUCGUUUAAAGGUGUACAAAAAUAGUAGUACCAGGAUGAACUUAUUUUCCUCCCUUUUUCACAUCGUAAGUUGCUUACCUUUCAGUUUAUAUUAUAUUGUUUAGGCUGCUCCUGCUGCAGUUGUUAGCACUGCUGUGACAGCCUUAGCACCCAAAGAUGCUUUUGAUCUGAAUCGUGUGAAAUGUGUGGUGGAUAUCACUUAUCAGUGGUUAUGCAAGUUAAUUGUCACGAGGAUUGAUUCCUUAUAACAAGUCAGUAUAAUUGCUAUGUUACACCUGGCACUCUGACUUCAGAUUAACCCUUUUGUUCUUUAACGUCUUGCUGGAUGUAUUUAGCUUUUGAAUGUAGGUCAGGGAAAGACACUCCGAAAUUUCCGUACAUGCUUCACCAUGGAAUUCAGGUACUUCAAUAUUCUUAUUAUGUAUUACUAGGCAGUCUCUGUAUUGAUGCAGUAAUGCUAGGUUUUUAAUCUUGUACAAAGUUUAGAUACAAAGUUCCUCAAAUUAUAUUCAGAGCUCCUGCCGACCCCUCUGCAACUAGAUGAAGAUCUGGAACAAUUAAAAUUCCUGGAGAAUGGAUACAAGAUGAAGGUGAAGAUCUGGAACAAUUAAAAUUCCUGGAGAAUGGAUACAAGAUGAAGGUGUGUUUCUAAUUGGGUAACAUUCAUUUUCUCGAUAUUGUCAUAUCAUAUCCCUACUCUUUUAUGUUUCACCAAGAAUCUGAUGGCGGUUGCCGCCGGUGCUCAUCUCCAAUGAGGUAAUAGAUUCAGGAGCCAUGUGGUCGGGAUUACCCGCCAAAUAAACUUACUCGUGCUUCGAGAUGAAGCCUCUCAUUAAAAUCCUCGGCAGGCCCAUGAUCCAGGUCCGGCCCACUUGCUAUUUCUACACCUCAAUUAUUAUAUAUUUGUUGUUUAGGUUGACCCUUUGACUUUCUUGUGAUCGUGUAAAUAUAAUGAAUAAUGAUCGUAGUAAUGUCUAAUGUGCAGACAACAGGUCGAGGAUUUAAGUCUUGUCAUAGUGAGAGUGUUGGAUAUAAUUUAGGAAAUAGAGUUCUCGUUUAGUUUGCUACACAUAGGCUUCAUUUGUUUAGAUUUGAGGAAAUGCAGUAAUGUUAACAUACAUUAUGCUUUUUUUAUAUUCGUAUUAUUUAGCUAUUCAACUUUUUUGUAAGUAUUUAUAAUAAGAAUAAUUAAUUAAUCAAAAUAAAAUAAAAUUGGGAUUUAAUUCUAUUUUCAAAUUGAUAUAUCUAGUACACAAUAUUUGUUAUAAAUAUUAUAAAAUAUUUUCCGGCAAUGACUAUAAAUGAAUAAUAAAUUCUAAAAUAAGAACAAAAAGUUAUUUAUCAUAUGUAUACGAUUUUGGGACCCUAAGCAAACUGAGGCACCGUGCACAUCAGCACGUACACGAAAUUUAAAUAAAUUUUAAAGUGUCAAAUCCAUUAACAUGGUAACAUUGAACUGAAAUCUUUAACUAAUAUUUUUUAUAGCAAUACUUUUAGAGUAUUCACAACUUUUAAAAAUGUAUUAAAAUCGUGUUUAACAUUUUAUUAGCGGCUUUGAGAUUGUGUCAUAAAACACAUAGGCCAAUACAUUAUUCUUUUAACUGUCCCAUUUAAAAGACCAAGACAAAUGAGUCAAUAAAAGAGCAGUUACCGGUUGCCAUUUAGAGUUUGAUGAUUGAUAAUUAUUUUAUCUUCGUGGGGUAAACUUUCCCGUUUGAUAUCAAGGCUAAGAUAAUUCACCCACCUCAAUUUGAGUUCUUACCAUAUGCAACCUGGUAAAUUACAGAAUUAAUCAAGAUAUAUAACCAAGUACAAACUCACCCAAACUGAGAAAUAAAUUAAUAGCACUUUAUGGCGAAAACAAAGGACCUAUAUACCAACAAUUUUAGGAACGUCUGUCAAAUAGCAUGUACCAUGUUCUUGGACAUAAACACCAACUUGCUAUCUUCUUCAGAAAUCCAUGCUCCUUUCUUAAUCUCUUCCAUUCUCUCAGCUGACCUCCCUAUCUUUCUUUCUCCUUCUUUUAGAUUAUAUAUAUGUAAGAGAUAUGAACAAACUCCAUAAAUGAGUUGCAUAUUGAGUUGAUUUUUAUAGAUAUAAACCAACUAUUUUACAUUUUCUUACAAAAGUAAGGAUUUUUUCCUCUCGGGUCGAGAUAUUAUUUUAUAUAUACGGAUUAUUAUCCCUUGGUCCGAGACACAUGAAAACAAUAUUACAUUCAAAUUAAUUGAUUUUUUAAGUAGAAGCCAAAGUUUUUUCUUGUCAAGCGUACAUUAUAUGGAAUAUAUUCUUGUACGAGUAAUGUACCUCUCAAGUAUGUACACCUGACAAGAAAAAAACUUUGGUUUGUACUAGAAAAAUCAAUUAAUGAAUAUAAUAUUGUUAUCAUGUGUCUCGGACCAAGGGAUAAUAAUCUGUAAAUAUUAAAUAAUAUCUGGGCCCGAGGGGAAAAAAUCUUUACGUUUGUAAGAAUAUGUAAAAUAGGUUGUUUAUGUCUCUAAAUACCAACUCAAUAUUCAACUCAUUUCUACAUUUUUUUUCGUAUCUUUUACGGAUAUAUAUUGUCAGAUAUAAAUUGAAAUAAAUAAGGAGGUCAGUUAACAGAAUGGAUGGAAGAGACAAAGGAACAUGGAUUUCUGAAGACGAAAGCAUGUUGGUGUUUCACGUCCAAGAACAUGGUACAUGCAAUUGGACGGUUGUUCCUAAAAUUGUUGGUAUUCAUGUUUUGUUUUUUGCUACAUUGUACUAUUAAUUUAUGUCUUAUUUUUAUAUAUCCUUUUUAGUUUUGUAAUUUGCCUAAUUAGUUUGUAUUGAAUUCAAUGUUGUUUCAUUAGUUAAAACAAUUGCUUUCUCUUGACUAUUUUGUUGAGUAGUUAUCAAAAUCCCUAUUAUUGCAUUUUUAUACAUCUGGUCAUAGUAGACCUUUGCCUAGUCUAAUCCACCGAUAGUGCCAACAUAGUCAUAAUGUUUAUAGUCUUCAAAAUUAUGUGUUCUUUCAGCACCACAACUAUUAACUUCACCACGCUUCUUCUUCAAAUGGACAUACAGUAGUUUUUAAUGUCAUUAUCCGGAUGACCAGGCAGGUUUGCAAUAAGGCACAUACACGAAAUUUAAAUAAAUUUUAAAUUGUCAAAUCCAUUGACAUGGUAACAUAGAUUUAAAUAAAGAACAAAACAUUUCAACUGAAAUCCUUAACUAAUAUUUUUUUUAUAGCAAUACUUUAAGAAAAGUUACUACUUCUAAAAAAGUAUUUAAAUCCUGUUUGACAUUUUUAUUAUCGGCUUUGAUAUUGUGUCAUGAAACACAUACCAAUACAUUAUUCUUUUAAUUUUCCCAUUUUAAAGGCCAAGACAAAUGAGUAAAUAAAAGAGCCGUGACCGGUUGACAUUGAGAGUUUGAUGAUUGAUAAUUAUUUUAUCUUCCUCGGGGGUAAAAUUUUCCCGUUUGAUAUUAGGGCUAAGAUGAUUAACCCACCUCAAUCUGCAGCUCUUACCAUAUACAAGGUAAAUUACAAAAUUAAUCAAGAUAUAUAACCAAGUACAAACUCACCCAAAAUGAGAAUUAAAUUAAUAGCACUGUAUGGCGAAAACAAAGGACCUAUAUACCAACAAUUUUAGGAACGUCUGUCCAAUAGCAUGUAACAUGUUCUUGGACAUAAGACACCGGUUUGCUAUCUUCUUCAGGAUUGCAUGCUCCUUUCUUUUUCUCUUCCAUUCUCUCAGCUGACCUCCCUAUCUUUCUUUAUCCUUCUUUUGGACUAUAUAUGUAAGAGAUAUGAACAAACUCCAUAUAUGAGUUGCAUAGUGAGUUGGUAUUUAUAGAUAUAAACCAACUAUUUUACAUAUUCUUACAAAAGUAAGGAUUUUUUUCCCUCGGGUCGAGAUAUAUAUAUAUAUAGAUUAUUAUUCCUUGGUCCCAGACACAUGAAAACAAUAUUAGAUUCAAAUUAAUUGAUUUUUCUAGUAGAAGCCUAAGUUUUUUCUUGUCAAGCGUACAUUAUAUGGAAUAUAUUCUUGUACGAGUAAUGUACCUCUCAGGUAUGUACACCUCAAGAAAUUUUUUUGGUUUAUACUAGAAAAAUCAAUUAAUUUGAGUAUAAUAUUGUUUUCAUGUGUCUGGGACCAAGGAAUAAAAAUCUGUGAAUAUUAAAUAAUAUCUGGGCCCGAGGGGAAAAAAUCUUUACGUUUGUAAGAAUAUGUAAAAUAGUUUGUUUAUGUCUCUAAAUACCAACUCAAUAUUCAACUCAUUUCUACAGUUUUUUCCAUAUCUUUUACACAUAUAUAUAGUCAAACAGAAAUUGAAAGAAAGAUAAGGAGGUCAGUUAACAGAAUGGAAGAGACAAAGAAAGGAACGUGGACUUCUGAAGACGAAAGCAAGUUGGUGUUUAACGUCCAAGAACAUGGUACAUGCAAGUGGACGGCUGUUCCUAAAAUUGCUGGUAUUCAUGUUUUUUUUUUGCUAGAUUGUACUAUUAAUUUAUUUUUUAGUUGAGUUUGUAUUUGGUUAUAUAUCCUUAUUAAUUUUGUAAUUUGCCCAAUUAGUUUGUGUCGAAUUCCACGUUGUUUCAUUUGUUAAAACAAUUGUUUUCUCUUGACUAUUUUGUUGAGUAGUUAUUAAAAUCCCUAUUAUUGCAUUUUUAUAAAUCUUGUCAUAGUAGACAUGUGCAUAGUCUAAUCCACCAAUAGUGUCAACAUCUUCAUAAUGUUUAUAAUCUUUAAAAUUAUGUGUUCUUUCACCACCACAACUCUCAACUUCACCAAGCUUCUUCUUCAGUUGGACACAUGCUAGUAGUUUUUAUUGUCAUUAUCCGGAUGACCAGGCAGGUGUGCAGUAAUGGCAGCCUAUCUGCACAUACAUGAAAUUUAUAUAAAUUUUAAAGUGUCAAAUCCAUUGACACAGUAACAUAGAUUUAUAUAAAGAACAAAACAUUUCAACUGAAAUCCUUAACUAAUAUUUCUUAUAGUAGUACUUUUAGAAAAGUUAUUACUUUCAAAAAAGUAUUAAAAUCUUGUUUGACAUUUUUAUCAUGGGCUUUGAUAUUGUGUCAUUAAACACAUAGGCCAAUACAUUAUUCUUUUAAUUGUCCCAUUUUAAAGACCAAGACAAAUGAGUAAAUAUAAGAGUCCUGACUAGUUGCCAUUGAGAGUUUGAUGAUUGAUAAUUAUCUUAUCUUCCUGGGGCCCGGGGGUAAAAUUUCCCCGUUUGAUAGCAGGGCUAAGAUGAUUUACCAACCUCAAUAUGCAGCUCUUCCUAUAUGCAACCCUGGUAAAUUACAAAACUAGUGAGGAUAUAUAACCAAAUACAUUCUCCAAAAAUGAGAAAUAAAUUAAUAACACAAUUUAGCAAAGAAAAAGUACAUAUAUACUAGCAAUUUUAGGAACAUUUGUCGAAUUGCAUGUACCAUGUUCUUGGACGUAAGACACCAACUUGCUAUCUUUUUCAGGAGUUCACGCUCCUUUCUUUGUCUCUUCUGCUCUCAACUGACCUCCUUAUUUUUCUUUCUCCUUUUCGACUAUAUAUAUUUAAGAGAUAUGAAAAAAUUGCAGAAAUGAAUUGCAUGUUGAGUUGGUAUUUAUAGAUAUAAACCAACUAUUUUACAUAUUCUUACAAAAGUAAAGAUUUUUUUUCCCUCGGGCCUAGAUUUUAUAUAAUAUUUACAUAUUUUUAUUUGUUGGCCCUAGUUACAUGAAAACAGUAUUUAUAUUCAAAUUAAUUGAUUUUUCUAGUAGAAACCAAAGUUUAUUCUUGUCAAGCGUACAUUUUAUGGAAUAUAUUCUUGUACGAGUAAUGUACCUCGGGUAUGUACACUCGACAAGAAAAAACUUAAGUUUGUACUAGAAAUAUCAAUUAAUUUGAAUUUAAUAUUGUUUUCAUGUGUCUUGGCCAAGAAUAAAAAUUUGUUAUAAUUAAAUAAUAUCUAGGCCCGACGGAAAAAAAUCUUUACUUUUGUAAGAAUAUGUAAAAUAGUUGGUUUAUUUCUAUAAAUACCAACUUAAUAUGCAACUAAUUUCUGCACUUAAUAUGCAACUAAUUUCUGCAGUUUUUUUAUAACUUUUACAUACAUAUAGUCAAAAAGAAAUUGAAAGAGAAAUAAGGAGGUUAAUUGACAGAAUGAAAGAGAUAAAGGAAGGAACAUGAACUUCUGAAGUCGAGAGCAAGUUGGUGUUAUAUGUCCAAGAACAUAGUACAUGCAAUUGGAGAACCCUUCCUAAAAUUGCUGGUAUAUAUGCAACUUUUAUUUGCUAAACUAUUCUAUUAAUUUAUGUAUCAGGUUAUAUAUCCUUAUUAGUUUUGUAACUUACCUAAUUAGUUUUGUAAUUAACAUGGUUACAUAAAUUAGCAUUUCAAAUGAAAUCCUUAACUAAUAUUUUUUUUAUAGCAAUACUUUUAAAAAAGUAUUAAAAUCAUGUUUGACAUUUUUAUUAGCGGCUUUGAGAUUGUGUCAUUAAACACAUAGGCCAAUACAUUUUUCUUUUAAUUGUCCCAUUUAAAAGAUCAAGACAAAUGAGUAAAUAAAAGAGCCGUUAUCAGUUGUCAUUGAGAGUUUAAUAGUUUGAUGACUAAUAAUUAUCUUAUAUUUCUCAGAGGUAAAAUAUCCUCGUUUGAUAUUAGGGCUAAGAUAAUUCACCCACCUCAAUCUGCAGUGUUAUCAUUCUUAUGCCCAGGUAAGUUACAAAACUAAUCAGGAUAUAUAUAUUCAAAUACAAACACACCCAAAAUGAGACAUAUUUUAAUAGCACAUGCACAUCAUAGCAAAAAAAAGUACAUAUAUACGAGCAAUAUUAGGAACGGCAGUCUAAUUGCAUGUAUGUAACAUGUUCUUGGCCGUAAGUCACUAACUUGCUAUCUUCUUCUAAAGUCCAUGCUCCAUUCAUUGUCUCUUCCUUUCUCUCAUCUCACCUCAUUAUAUCUCUUUCUCUUUCUCAUCAACUAUAUAUAUGUAAAAGAGAUGAAGAAAUUGUAGAAAUGAGUUGCGUUUUGAGUUGAUAUUUAUAAAUAUAAACCAACUAUUUAACCUAUUCUUACAAGAGUAAAGUUUUUUUCCCCUCUCGGGCCCAAAUAUUAUUUAAUUUUUAUGGAUUUUUAUUACUUGACCCCAGACAUAUGAAAACAAUAUUAUAUUCUAAUUAAUUGAAUUUUCUAUUAUGAAACAAAGUUUUUUCUUGUCAGGUGUACAAACUCGAGUAGUUCUUGAAUGAAAGAAAUUUCUAUGGAAUAUAUUCUUGUACAUGAAAAAAAUUCCUCUCUUUGGAAUAUAUUCUUGUAUGAGUAAUGUACCUCUCGAAUAUGUUCACCUGACAAGAAAAAAACUUUGGUUUGUACUUGAAAAAUCAAAUAAUUUGGAGAUAAUACUGUUUCCUUGUGUCUGGGGUGGAGGAAUAAAAAUUCGUAAAUAUUAAAUAAUAUAUGGGUCCGAGGCAAUUACUUUUUUUAAGAAUAGGUAAAAUAGUUGGUUUUUAUCUAUAAAUACCAACUCAUUUCUGCAGUUUUUUCAUAUAUUUUGCAUAUAUAUAGUCGAAGAGAAGGUGAAAGAGAAAUAAGGAGGUCAGUUGAGAGGAUGAAAGAGACAAAGAAAGGAACAUGGACUUCUAAAGAAGAUAGCAAGUUGGUGUCUUACGUCUAAGAACAUGGUACAUGCAAUUAGAUAGCCGUUCCUAAAAUUGCUGGUAAAUAUGUACUACUUUUUCUUCUUUUUUUUUGGCAAUACCGUGCUAUUAAUUUUUGGUGAGUUUGUAUUUGGUUAUAUAUCCUGACUAGGUUUGUAAUUUACCUGGUUGCAUAGGAAUGGUAAGAACUACAGAUUAAGGUGGGUGAAUCAUCUCAGCCCUAAUAUCAAACGGGGAAAUUUUACCCCCAAGGAAAAUAAGAUAAUUAUCCGUCAUCAAACUCUCAAUGACAACCGGUAACGGCUCUUUUAUUUACUCAUUUGUCUUGAUCUUUUGAUGGGAUAAUUAAUGUAUUGGCCUUUGUAAUGACACAAUCUCAAAGCCGCUAAUAGAAAUGUCCAACAAAAUUUUAAUACUUCUCUAAAAGUAGUAACUAUUCCAAAAGUAUAGUUAAAACAAAAGGGUCUUGUUCCCUGACAUAUGGUUGUCAGGGAACGGUUAUUUGACACAUGGUGCCACAGCCGUUGGAUCGAUGAUCCAACGGCUGUGGCAAAAGAAAACAUUUUUUCCUAUCCGCGCUUAAAAACCGCGGACACUGUGUCUAUCCGCGCUUUUUUGCGCGGACACAUACCCUUUCCGCGGUAAAAAACCGCGGACAUUCCAGAAUGUUUUGCACGCACACUUUAUAACCUAGGUGAUCAACUUCACUUGUGUUGAUCUUGUUUUGGAAAGUGCAGUGGUGAUUUUGUUGAUCUUUUAGGCAAGAAUCUGAUCCAUCUUCCAUCUUUGUCUUGGGUAAGCUUAAUUUGUAGUAGUGUUUUGUUGAUUUUGUUUGUACAAUAAUGGAUAAAAUGUUUGCAAGAUUUGAAGGUAGAAAAAGUUUGAAAAAAACCAAGAAUGUUGAUGUACAUGAUGAUAAGGUUGAAUGUGGUCAUGAUAGAGACAAUAUUAAGUAUGUUGAAGUUGUUGAUAGUGAUGAUGAGGAGUUAGUUAGUGAAGAAUUUGAUGAAAGUGAUAAAAUGUAUGAUGAUAUAGGUAGUAUGCAUGAAAGUAGUGGUAAUUUGCAUGAUCAUGGUGAGGAUAAUGUUGAUGGAGAUGACCCUAUUAUUAUUCCCCACUUGAAUCAACAAUUUCCUAAUUUACAAGCCGGGGAGAAUAUGUUUAGGGCGUAUGCUUUAAAGAAUGGUUUUGCAAUUAAGAUACAAAACACACAGAAGCGUGCCAAAGAUAAAUCCAUAUAUGGUCGAUUGUAUGUUUGUAAUUUAGCGGGAGAAACUCGUGGGAAAAACCCCGUUGAUGACGAUGAAAUUUUGAUUGGUAGUCUUGGUAGUGUUAAGGGCAAACGGCGUAGAGAUGUGCUUCCUAGGAGUGGUUGCAAAGUUAGAAUGUACUUGGUUAAUAAGAAAAAAACAAGUCAUUGGGAGAUAACCGGUUUGGAAUUAGAACACAAUCACCAAGUUGUUACCCCUUCUAAGAUGAGUUUGAUAAGACGGGAGAAACGUGUUAGCGCGGCACAAAAAAAUUUGAUCAAGAGCUUACAUGUUUCGGGUGUCCAACCAAGACAACAAAUGAAUAUAUUUGGUAAAAUGCACGGAGGAGCGGAACAAGUAGGUUUUAACAGCCAAAAUUUAAGAAAUGUCGUACGUGAUUUUAGGAAGGACAACAUGGGAGUUAAUGAUGCUCAAGCCGGUUUGGAUUUGUUGUACCGUUUGCAAGAAGAGAGCGGCGGUAAGUUUUUCAUCAAGACUCUCCUCGAUGACGAACAAAGAUUGAAGUGUCUUGUAUGGGUCGAUCCCCGCUCUUUGAUGGCCUACAAAAACUUCGGUGAUGUGGUUGCGUUUGACACUACAUAUCGAACUAAUAGGUAUGCUAUGCCGUUUGUGCCUUUCACCGGAGUCAACCAUCACUAUCAAUCAAUACUUUUUGGUUUUGCACUCGUUCGGGAUGAAUUGAAGACAACUUUUGAGUGGGUUUUGAGUACUUGGCUAGAAGCAAUGAAGGCAAAUACCCUUGGUUAUCAUAACCGAUCAAGAUCAAGCCAUGGCCGCGGCUAUUGAAUCACAACUUCCGAACACAUCACAUUUGUUAUGCUCAUGGCACAUUAGCAACAAAUUCCCCGAGAAACUUGCAACAUAUUAUUCGAAGGAAGGGUUUAAAUUUGAUUUCAACAAUUGCAUAUAUCACUCUUUGACUGAAGUUGUGUUUGAAGAUCGGUGGAAUGCUUUGGUUUUGAAGUACAAUUUGGAAGGCAAUACAUGGCUUCAAGGGUUAUAUGCUUUGAAGCAUAAGUGGGUCGAGGCUUACACAAGAAACACUUUUUCUGCGGGUCAAAAGACCACAUCAAGAAGUGAAGGAAUGAAUGCAUAUUUCGAUGCCUAUGUUGGUUCUUGCACCGGUUUGAAAGAUUUUGUAGAGGGUGCACAAAAAGCUUUGGAGAGGCAAUUCAUGCGUGAGAAAGACGAGGAUUAUGUGACGUUUCAUAGAAGUCGUUGCAUGCAAAUGAAAACCGCUCUGGAGCACCACGCAGCUUCCAUUUAUACGAAAGAAAUGUUUCGAAGAUUUCAGGAACAAUUGGUUGAAUCAUCUAAGUACUUUGUGGAGAAAGAUAGAGAUCGGUCCUUGGAAGAUGUUCAAGACACGUUCUACAAAUGUUAUAGACCGUUGAUGCGUGCUUCUCAGAGAAACACGUAUCUUGUAUCAUUCAACAAGGUGUCAUUAUGGGGUUCAUGCAUUUGUAAAAUGUAUGACAAUGUUGGCAUACCAUGCCGUCACAUUAUUGCCGUCUUGACGAAGAGGUGUGUGGCGGAACUACCGGAACAUUUUGUGAAACGGCGUUGGACAAGGGACGCCAAUAGAGUUGAUGGCAAGUUGCCAUAUCACACGUCCGAAUUUCAAUCACCAUCUCAUGAAAUGACUCCCACGGAAAGAUUCAACCACAUGACAUUACUUACCAUGGCGUUUAGUCAUAGUUGCAUGGCAUCGAAAGAGCGGUAUGAGUAUGCCGUUGGGGUUAUUAAUCGGGAAACAGAAAUACUUGAGAGCAUGCCCGUUGACGGGGUCGAAAAUGAAGGAGGUGAAUUAAAUCCAAAAACAACUCAAGAAGGUGGUGAGAAAUUGCAUGAGAGUAUCCUUGACCCCUUGGUGUCGAAAACAAAGGGACGGAAAAAAGAGCACCGCUUUAAAAGCCCCGUUGAGGAACUUACAAAAACAAAAAGAAAAUGCCGAUAUUGCAAUAUGUUGGGACAUGAUGUUAGGACGUGUCCCAAAAAAAAAGAAGAUGAUUUAAGAAAAGCUCAAACUGGCCAAUUGUAAUUCACAUUUUAGAAAAAUUUCUCUUAUGUUUUACUUGUGGUUUAUUUGUCCUUCGUAUGAGUUGGUGUAACUAACUUGUUCUUUGUUGGAUUUGUAGGUGAAAUGGCCGACGGUUCGGAUGAUGAGUCAGUGUCACACGUCAGCAACUCAAUCUCGGACUCGGAAGAAAUGUGUGAUUCACCUAGUUUUAGCUUCUUGGAGGACGCGAUUCGUGAGCUCGACGAACUUGCAGAAAUGUACGAACCACCAUCCCACUCGGAAGAAAUGUGUGAUUCACCUAGUUUUAGCUUCUUGGAGGAAGCAAUUCAUGAGCUAGACGAAUUGGCACAGAUGCACGAACCACCUCCCCAAUUGGAGGAAGAAGACACCGAGUUGUACCCGCCUGAGGAAGCGGCCUACCGGUCAAGAAAUUGGACCGAAGCUUGUCAGUGGUGUGCAAGCGAUAACAUGUUCGAAAGGGUGGCUUAUAACUUGACCCCAUAUUUUCUACCUAUUUUGAACUUGGGUAAGGACUAUCCCGACGGGCCAAACAAAGUAUCGUUGUGGGAUGGUGGUGAUAUUGUGACGUGUGAUAGGAUAGCCGACAUUAUGAAGUUGAGGCCUCGCCCGGGUUGCACGCGUGACCAAAUGCGAAUUGAAUAUGUCAAGGGGUGGGUGUCCAACCUUCGUGGUGAUGAUACGGGAAAAUGGAUAACGCGCAAAGAACCAUGGAGCAAAUUUCGUCUCUACGAUGGGUCUAAUAGCAUUCAUGUCACACUAUGGAAUGAUCACAAUACGCAUGCCAAUGUGACCGAAGGUGUGCUCCGUGAAGGUUGUGUUGUUGUGCUGUAUUGGGUGGCAUGCUUCAUUAGAGCCGAUGCGACGCCCGGGCAUUCCACACACCGACUAUCGGGAGGCUUCUCCAACAUUUUAGCAGUGUUUAGUUAGUUAGCUUCCCCGUACCGGAUUAAUGUUGAUUUCAGGUUUUAUAUGUAUUUUUGUGUAAUCGCAACAAAAUAGACACCGUUCGAUGUAUUAUUGACAUUGAAAUGACAAUAUUAUGUAGUAAUUUCUUUGUUAGUGCUAACAUUGUCAAAAUGGUACGAGGUUUUGUCAUUACUUCAAUUAUGGUGUUUCUAGUCUAUUGUAAUUUAUUUAUGAUUUUUGAACGUGUCUAUUCGCGGCAAUAUGCAUGCAAAGUUCACAAAAUUGUUCAAAGUGGUCAUUUUCCAAACAAAUGGCAAUAGGUAAUGAAAACUUAUUGUAUGAACUUUUAAAAGUCAUAAUGUGGUUAAGGGGUCCUAGAAGAGUAUAUAUGAGCAUGAAAGACAGUAAGAGGAGCUGAAAAAAAAAAUAUUCCCACUGGAAUAUCCGCGGUAAAUAACCGCGGACACUCCAGUCCAUCCGCGGUUUUUUAGCGCGGAUACUCCAGUGGUGACAGGUUGAAUGUGCAGUCUGUUUCUGCACAUUCCCACCUGUUUUCAACAGUGUCAAACAGUUCAAAUUACAUACAAACCUGAAUAAACAGCAUUCCAACAACAAUCUCCCAAAGAAAAAUUUGACCAAAUUUUUCGAAGCCUUCAAAUAUGCCCCAAAACGUCAAAAAUUCUCAAACAUCCAAAAAAUGAGCAUACUCCAAAAAUUCUCAAAUUUAAUCACAAGAUAGAGAUUGACAUUCCUAACAAUAUGCAAUAAAGGGGCGGGGGAAACUCAAACGAGAAACACAUAAACAAAAAUUGAAUGAAAGGGGUCGGGGGGUGGACACGGUCGAUAAACGACCGAUAUAAUCAACAACCAAGAUAUAUUGAGAUUGAAAUAAAGUAAACUACAUCGUUCAACUUGAAUAUAUAUAACGUAAAUGUCAUAAACUACGAAAAUGUCAUAAACUACGAGACUAAGAAAAUGUCAUAAACUACGAAAAUGUCCUAUUCCUUGGCUCCUUCUAGCCUUUGCCGCAUAAGAUGACUAGGGAUUCGCCUCGCUCUCCCUUUCUGAAGCUCUUUUGCAAUCCUAAAGCGGAAUAGGUCAACAUCCGAAGUAUCCCACGUCAAGGUGGAGAGGUCAUAACCUUGCAAGGUGUAGUCCAUGUACUUGCAGACGAAGACCCCGCAAUCAAAAUGAUUUUGCUGCUUCGGCAUCUCAUCCCAAACAUGAACUAGAGGGUCCUCUUGCGGGAACUUUUGACCCUUGGCAAGAAAACGAAGCAUCCCUCCAAGUACACCGACCUACAAACAACAAAAACAUGAAAACAAACAUCAGAACAAAACCAUCAUGUAUAUUAGUAGAAGAGGAGUGAAGGAUUUAGUACCAUUGCUUCUUCUUCGUCUGGAUAUUCAGACUUAUCGUUAUAAGGAUCGAGAACCAUGAUAGCCCACUUCUUCACAGCAAAGACCAUGAGAAUCCAGUGAUUGUCAUUGACAUUUGUGGGAACAAAUAUGUAGUCCACCUGGUUGAUUGCUGGACCAACCCCACAGCUUCCCCACUUCAAAUAAAAGUGCUUCACCCUCUCCGUCAUAUUUUUGUAGUCCACUUCCAUGGCCAACGGGAUGAAGAAGGGAUCCAUGAAGUAGUACGUAGGCUCCCUGGGGUGGAUGCCCUCUGCAGCAAUUGCUUCCUCCCGAUCACGUAACAACCACUGCAUCAAAUUAUCAUAUAUACAUAAUUAAACAGAACUAUACAAAUACAAAUAUAAAUGAACGUACAACAUUGAACAAAGACAAAUACAGAGACAACAUGAACAGAAAUUGUACCAUGUAUGUGUAGAUGAUCCGAUCAUCUAACCAUCCACCGGGGGCCAGACUCUGCAUUGAGAUAGGGGCAAGCGUGAACAUAAGAUCAUGUCUUAUACCACCCUCGAGACCCACUGUCAUACCCCUCCCCCAUCCCCAGUCUCUCCGGAUAGUAUCCAUCUUCUCCUGUGUCAAUGUGCGGAGAUGCCUGAUAUAGCGUGGAUGGACAACAUUCCUACUACUAGUAGGAAAAAGGAUAGAGCCUACCACGAAGAACAUAUAGGCCUGUGUGUGAACAGCUAUACGCCUCGGAUCAGGACCUGGAUCAGCACUCCCAUAGGUCUCAAACAACCAAGUCAGCCUCACCCCUCCUCUAGUAAAGCCAUCCUUCACCUGCUGANAACGCCGGGGGCGUAUAUGCCGGGCCUCUAACCGUCUGCAUGAAUCGGCAGUACGGCUCAAUAAAUAUAGGAGCAAUCCUGCUGAACUCGUCAUGAUACUCUGGCGGUAUGGUAGAGUCCAUCCUCUGCAGGCAUUCCAGACCCUUCUGGAUCUGCAUAUAGUUUUAUGAUAUGCAAUCAAAAAAGUGACAAACUUGAAUACAAAUGAAAUGGGAGAUAAACUUGAAUACAAAUGAAAUGGGAGAUAAACUUACAAGCUGAUAGGCCUGGAAGUUGUCAAACAACUCCCGAGUAGAGUACUUAGGCUGCGGCACUGGCUCUGGCUUCCCGACUCGCAAUCGAGAAAUCUCCGUGUACCAAUGCAUGUAUCCGGUGUCAUCCACUGCGUGAGAACGGUGAGCCACUACAACCUCAGGAUGCUCCACGAAACGGGACCAGUCACCAAUCUCCGCAAACCAUAUGGCACGCCAAUCAAUGGGAUUCCAUGGCAGCUUAGGCUGCCUGUAGUCUGUCAUCGAAACUGGGGGUGGUGGGAUGCCCUGUGGCAGUCCAAACUGUCUCAACACUCGCUCGGGAUGCUGGUACUCCACAAUAUCAUAACAGAGCAAUGGUACCCUAGCUAGGCCAGCAAAAUGUGCCUCCCAAUCCUCAGCAGAAAUGUCAUGAUCCCCGUCUGAAUCCUCCUCUAUCUCGUGAAAAUGAGCAUAGGGCAUCCAACUAACUAUAUCGCCAGCAACUCCAUCAAACUCGCCUUUGUAAUGUGGCAAGCUAUGAUGAGGAGCCGCCGAACUAUCCCGCCUCCCCCGUUUCCUCUUGCCGCCCACAAUCCAACCCUCCUCGGUAUCCUCCUCCUCCACAGUCUCAUCCUCCUUUCCCUUCCCCUUCCCCUUCCCCUUCCCCUUACCCUUACCCUUCCCCUUUCCCUCCUCCUCCUCCUGACCCUUCCCCGUCUUACCCUUACUCCCCUUCCCCUUCAACUCCUCCUUCCCUUUACCCUUCCCCAUCCCCGUCUCCUUCCCCGUCUUCCCCUUCUUCCCCGUCUCCUUCCCCGUCUCCUUCCCCGUCUUCCCCUUUUUCCCCUUACCCUGGACCUCAACAACCUCCUCCUCUACCGGCUCCUCCAUGUACACAAUCUCAUCGGGCCUGGCCCAGAACUCAGCUGCCGGGUAACUAUCCCUGCUAGGAUCCGGGAUCGGUCUCCCGAUAUCAAACCUCUCGUAACUCCACAACAUCAACAACCAGACGCAGCAGGAGAUCUUCUUUGACCCCUUCUGUGCAGCUGUAGUCAGACCCCUGUACAGAUAUGAAAGGACUGCUGAUCCCCACGACCAUGUACGCACAUGGCUCAGUGUGCGAAGAUGCCUGAUAUAGCGUGGAUGGACAACAUUCCUACUACUAGUAGGAAAAAGGAUAGAGCCUACCACGAAGAACAUAUAGGCCUGUGUGUGAACAGCUAUACGCCUCGGAUCAGGACCUGGAUCAGCACUCCCAUAGGUCUCAAACAACCAAGUCAGCCUCACCCCUCCUCUAGUAAAGCCAUCCUUCACCUGCUGAGGAGUCAACUCCUCAAACCAUGCCCUCUCGAAAUAUGACUGGUUACCGUCAAUACCAUCUCCAACUAGUGGCCGACCCACAACAGGUAAUCCUAGUAUGUAGCCAACAUCCUCUAGAGUGACUGUCAUCUCCCCCUGCCUCAUGAAGAAGGUAUUGGUCUCGGGCCACCCCCUCUCCACUAAUGCACUAACAAGCCUUGUAUCAUUCUGAAGAACAAUCCUAGGGUUGGCAAACACGCCAAAGCCAACCAUAUGCAAAAUCUCCCUCUGCGCGUCUGAAAGAACCCAAUGCCUUAAGGACCGGUUACUAGACAUACACUCCAAAGGACCACGCUCGACUCCAUUCCAAACAUCUGAACUCACAUGGUACGAGUUAUCCACGAUAACUGCUCCACUAACAGGACCCGGCAAAAUAUCAUCCAUCCUGAAACACAAAUACCAAUCCACUUAGCAUACCAUCAAUUACUAACCGAAGCAUACCAUGAAUUGACAAUUUACAAUCUAUAAACUUAACAUACUAUCAAUACACUUAGCAUACCAUCAAUUACACUUAACAAAUACCAUCAAUUACACUUAGAAUACUAUCAAUUACACUUAACAAAUUCCAAUCCAACAAUCAAUAAACCACAAACCAACAAUAAUUUACGAUUGGUAGCAGAAGAUACCAUCAACUACACUUAGCAUACUAUCAAUAUCCAACAACAAUUAGCACUAAAAACAAACAAUUCUAACUAAAAUUUACUUUGAGGCAUUUUCACGAACACUUAGCAUACUAUGAAUUACACAUCAUCCAUAACAAUGCAUUUAUCAAAUCAAUACCCAACAAUCAAUUACACAUAAUCACUACAUCCAAUCCAAUCCAAUCCAAUCAAUUACACAUAUUCUCGAUUGCAAUACAUACAUACAAUCCGGAAAAAAACAAUUUAUAUACACAUACACGCGAGGAUAUAUAUACACGCACCUUAAGAAUCGUGUUCUUGAAGCUUGGGAGGUUUGUGUAAUCGCUUUCUUGCAGUUGUGAGAGGGUGAGAGGGUUUGUAAAAUCGGGUGCCAUAGCAGUUUUUGUGUUUGUGUUUGAAUAUAACUGUCACUGAUCAUAUACAUGCGUUUGCGCGUUUUAAACCAUUCUGGAAUGUCCGCGGUUUUUUACCGCGGAAAGGGGGAGUGUCCGCGCAAAAAAGCGCGGAUAGACACAGUGUCCGCGGUUUUUAAGCGCGGAUAGGAAAAAAUGUUUUCUUUUGCCACAGCCGUUGGAUCGAUGAUCCAACGGCUGUGGCACCAUGUGUCAAAUAACCGUUCCCUGACAACCACAUGUCAGGGAACAGGACCCAAAACAAAAUUAGUUAAGGAUAUCUGUUGAAAUGUCUUGUUUUUUAUUUAAAUCUAUGUUAACGGAUUUGACACUUUAAAAUUUAUUUGAAUUUCGUGUAUGUGCAGAUGGUAUGCCAUUGUUGCACAAGUGCCUAGUAGGACGGAUAAUGACAUAAAAAACUACUGGCAUGUCCAUCUGGAAAAGAAGCUUGGUGAAGUUAAUAGUUGUGGUGUUGAAGGAACACAAAAUUUUGAAGACUUUAAACGUUAUGAUGAUAUUGCUACUAUUGAGUAUACAGAGAACAUGGGAACGUGCAAACUUGGCGACAACGCUGGACCAUGUUGGUAAAUCAUUGACCUCUAUUGAUCUGUUUUUGUUAAAGGCGUUUUGGCAUAAUUUUUGAAACUAACUUCAUGUUUUUCUAUUAGUUCACCAUCUCCUUACUUUAAAGAUAGUAUGGUUUCUUUCCUUGGUACACAAACCUAUUGAUUUUAUAGUGAAUUUCAUAGUUUCUGUGGUGCACAGUGCAUAAGCUUUUAGUCUUUUGGCUGUCCGAGUCAAGAUAGGUUGCUUCCCGUAAUAUGUAUUUGUUUUCCACUUAAAGCAGAGUCAGUGCUCUCCUGCAUUUCCACUUCUCCGAAUCAACCAGGACUAAUGGUGGUUUUAUCUAGGGUAGCAUACAAGUACAAGAAAUCAAAGUGGCCUGCUUUUCUUUGAGCAGUAGAACAUGACAUCAUCCGCUUUCCCUAGUUAUAAGGAACGGCAAUCCUUAUGGAGGAUUGAUUUAGAGAUCACAGUGGUUCUGAAUGGUUAGAAGUGAAUGAGGUGAUUGUAAGAGUUGCUACAAUGGUAGCCUUUGUCAUGCAAUUUCGCCUUCUUAGGUAAGACGACCGCAUAGAUUAUCACCCAGCCAGGGACACCAGUAAGUAUUCCCGUGUACUAUAUACACACACACUUUUAUAUAGGUCUGGUUUUUUAUUCAAAAUAUAAAUAAAUAAAUAUAUUCGAGAUACCAAAUAAAUUCAAAAAUAUAUUAAAUUUAUUUCAGAUUUAUUUUUAAAAGUCAACUGAAAAUGCUAAAACUGGGCUUGUUGAGAAUGAUGCGCCAAAGGUUGAGCAAGAAGGUCGAAAAAGAUAGUAUAAAAAUUAUUAGAGAUCAUUCUCCAAAAAAUUUAAGUGACAAACAUUUUUCUAAAUAUGGGAUAACUUUUUUGAAAUCUAAAUCAGCCUUCAAUCAGCCUGGACUGCACGACAUGCUGGCUAGAGUACUCAACCGGACAUACCAGUUAAGAUAAAGACUUUAUUGGUUUUAUUAUUUAAAUCUAAAUCUAGUCAAAACAUAAAUAGGUACACUUUAAUAUUAAAUUGACUUUUCACUUUUCAUUACAAAACUCAUUUCAUUUAUUUAUAUAUUUUGUCACAAACCGAGCACUAAACUGAAGUCAACAGAAACUAUCAACUGCUUGUUCCCAGGCCACAAGGGAAUACUUCCAGGUUGCGUUGGCAGUUGGAUCAGACGACUUUUUAUAUAAAAAAAAUUACAUAUUAUAUAAAUAAAAAAAACUAAAAAGUGUUAUAUUGUUUUAAGUCACUAUGAAUAAGAUAUAUUAUUUUAUUUUGAUAAUAGAUAAUGUUGAAUUUUGUAACACGGCCACGUCCAUAACUUCGACAAUUAUAACCAGUGGCGGAACCAGAGUUUAUAAUCAGAGAGGGCCAUUUUUACCCAUAAUAAAGGCCGGAAUAUGCUGGAAAAAGGUUAAAAAAAAGUUAAAAAAAUGGCUUCACAGAGAAUUGAACAUUGGUCUUUGGAUUGCUACACCCCAUCUUCUACCACUUGAUCUACAUAAAACAUGUGAUUAUAGAUUAUAUAACAUGUAUUUAUAGAAAUGUCGGGGGCCCAGGCAGGUCCUAGGCCCAACGUGGCUCCGCCACUGAUUAUAACUAUGUUAAAUUUUUUAGACUUGAUCGAAGAGAAGAAUAUCUUCUAUAUUGCCUUUAAUUUUUAUUUUGUGAUAAAAUUUAUUCAAUUUUAACUAAGAUUGUUAGAGAACGGCAAGAUAGAGACAAAAUUAACGUGGUACGUAAUUAAAAUAAUUCUUCACCAAAAAAUAUACAAUGGGCUCUAAAAUAUAAUUGGAAGAUUCCAUUUAGCGAGUAAAUAUGGUACAACUUGGCAUGCCAGCUGCCUCGCCCAAGCAACUGGUACAAGACUAUGAGUUGACCUGUUACAUCCAUGCAAGCCAAACUAUUUGUAACUAAACACUUCAGUUCUUGAAACAUUCACUCUUCAAGGUGAAAAUUUUCAUAAUAUCCUGCUUUGUUAUAAAUAAUGUUGAGUUCUGGCCAAUCUACAUGGCCUCAUAUUCUUGUCUUGUUGAUUCUGUACAAGUUCACAAUUUCAGCAAGUAAAUCAGUCUCUUACACCAAACACUGUGCUUCUGUUGUCCCUGCGGCAACUCCAACAACUUAUGAUACAAAUGUCCCCUUUUCUGAACUGGAUACCUUAAAUUCUUUUGUGCCAGAGCCUCGAAGAAUCUUCCGCCAGAAUUCUUCUGUAACUUCUCUCAAUUUUCGCUCAGUAGGACGUAUCUAUGAAACAGAUCUUAAAGGUGUUUACAAGAUUGAUGCUGAGUUGAGAAUACGGGUUUAUAAUUAUAUUGAUGAUACUUAUGAUUUUGUGAGCACUUCAACUCAGGGAAGAUCAUCUCGACGUCCUAGGAGGUUUGAACGGUUGAUAUUCUUGAUACAUGGAUUCUGGUCAGAGUCUUCUGGGAAAGGCUGCUUAGUGGGAUCUGCUCCUUGGUACUCAAGUAAAGGUGAGCAUAUCACUCUUGAAGCUAUGUUUAAGAUAAAUUUUUCUAUGAGUUCAACAUAUUCUAACAGUUUUGUAACUGGGGAAUUCGAAAGCUUGAGUCAUUUGAAUGAUGAUAGUUACUUUAAUCCGAUUUCAGUAUAUUCUGUUCCUGAAGUAACUUGGUAUGAGUAUAAGUUAAUAUCUGAGGAAACUGUGAAAGAAUACUAUGUAUUUCAUAAUGCUGAAAGUUCAGUUCCUGGUUCAAAACUUGGAAAGAUAUGUUCGUUUUUCAACAAAAUGCAUCUCUCUGAUUUUUCUCUGGAGUAUGCGCGCAGUUGCAACAGUUCUUUAAGGAAAUGUUCUCUGCUUGACGGAGUAGAUAAAUAUUCGCCUGGUUAUGUUUCCUUGUAUAUCAUUCAAUGCAAUGAAUACAGAAAGAUGAUGCGCAUUUUGGUACGCCUUCCGACCCCGGGCUAUGAUGAGAGGUAUGAUAUGUUGGAUCCCAACACAACAUUAGUUGGGGAAGGAUUGUGGGAUGAGAAAACGAAUUCUCUAGUCAUCGUUGCUUGCAGGACUUCAAGUUCCAGUUCUUCCGGAGAUGCUCAUCUUGGGGAUUGUUCAUUUCGGUUAAGCCUGUAUUACCCUUCAGUAUGGUCAAUUAAAACCAGGGACAAAGUUGUGGGACGGAUUUGGACAAAUAAGACUGCACAAGAUGUAGGGUACUUCGACCCGAUCAAUUUCAGGAAUUCUGUUGGAUUCAUAAAAGUGCCUGGUUUUAAGUAUGAAUACACUGAAAUUGAGAAGGUAUAUAAGCUAUGCCCAAAGAAGGCUCUUACAAGGGGAGAGAGAUACCCAAGUGGAGAGUUCUAUGAUAUGAGGUUUGACAUGUCUUUGCAAGACUCAGAGUAUAUUGGUGGGGCUUCUGCAAAACCGAUCUUCAUAGGCAAUAAAUCGUAUCUGGAUUAUUCUGUUUUUAGAACAAACUCAAGACAGGGAGGUAAUGGAGAAAAUGUAAAAUCCGAAGUGGAGUUUGAAAAUGUUGUUUCGGAUAAUGUUCAAUUGAAUGUUAGUUACAAAUUGGGGAUUUCAUUAAUGAGUGGUGUCAAAUCGGGAUCUGGCCGUCAUUCUAUACUGCAUACAUCCUUCAGACCACACGGUUAUAUAAUUAUAUCUGCUGAAGGAGUUUAUGAUUCUGGAACAGGAUCCCUUUGUAUGACAGGCUGUAGAAAUCUGGCCUUUCGCAAUUUUCAGGACUGUGAUAUAGUCCUGCAUUUCCACUUCCCCGGAUCAACCAGGGCUAAAGGUGGUUUUAUGAAGGGUAGCAUACAAAGCACAAGGAAUCAAAGUGACCCGCUUUUCUUUGAGCAGUUGAACAUGACAUCAUCCGCCUCCACCAGUUCUGAGGAACGGCAAUCCUUAUGGAGGAUUGAUUUAGAGAUCACAAUGGUUUUGAUCUGUAACAUGAAUGCAUGUAUACUUGUUUGUUUUCAGCUUUACCAUAUGAAAAGGUAUCCUAGUACCGUUCCUCAUAUGUCACUUGUUAUGCUUGUGAUACUUGCAUUGGGGCACCUGAUCCCUCUCGUCCUAAACUUUGAAGCACUGUCCAUGGCACCGCAAAAUACACAAACUAUAAAGCUAGGUAGAUUUGAAUGGCUAGAAGUGAAUGAGGUGAUUGUAAGAGUUGCUACAAUGGUAGCCUUCAUCAUGCAAUUCCGUCUCCUUCAAUUAGCCUGGACUGCACGACAUGCUGGCCAGAGUACUGAUCCGGACAUAUCAGUUGCUGAGAUAAAGACUUUACUAGUUUUGUUGCCAAUAUACAUAGUUGGUGGGAUGGAUGCAUAUCUUUUGAAAUGGGAGAAGUUUAACUAUAGCAAGUCAUCGCGUGCACUUAACUAUUCACGAGUUCAGUACCAACAAUAUACUCUCUGGGGAUAUUUGAGAUCAUAUGCUACCCUGAUACUUGAUGGCUUUCUCUUUCCCCAAGUAAUUCUCAAUUUAUUCCAGAUGUCAAGGCAAAGUGCUCUGUCUAUGCCGUUUAUCCUAGGAACGACAUUGGUUCAUUCAGUUCCUCAUGCCUACCACCUUUAUGUCAACAACUAUGUGUACGCAAAUCCUAGUGCAGAUUUUUAUUCUGCCGCUUGGGAUACCAUCAUUCCACUGGCAAGUUUUUUGCUCGUUGCGGUCAUAUAUUUGCAGCAAAGGUAUGGUGGCCUUGUUAUUCUUCCUACGAAAUUCAGGGACUUGGAAUUAUAUGCAAAAGUGCCUGAAGCUUAAUGGCAAUAUUGUUGCUUCUCUGGUUUAGUAAUUUCUGUAAUGUAUUGUUGCCGUUUGCGGGCUUCUGUAUAUUUAACAAGAACUUCUUGUCCUCUCUGAAUAUUGUUUGUUUCUUAAAAUUGGAAUUAUGAUUGCUUUUCUGUUUUGAUUACCAGGCAAGAGCUCUCUUUUUAUGCAGAAUGCGUUUACAGACAGUUUAGUUUGGUCUUAAAUUUUAGCUUAGAUAAGAGGUUUGUCUUGUGGCAUGUGUUGAUGUUUCCUGCUACUUGAACUUUUGAAAAACUGUUACUCCUACUGGGCACUGGCUCAACUUUUCUUCACCCCCAACGGCAUCUCCAACUUUUAGAAUUUUUAACUAAAAAUAAUUAAUACUGAUUAUAAAUAAAAUUUAUAGAGACAUGUAAAAGAAUUUCAAUUUUAAGACAUUGAUAUCUCUAAUUUUAGCCAAAAUCAACAUCUAAAGAGGCAAAAUUUCAUAUCAUCUAUUAUGUUACUAAAAUAAUGUAUGUUAUUUUCAUAAUAAUUUGAAAUGAUAAUUAUAUUAUUUUAAAAUAGUCAUUUAAUAUCAUGAAAGCGGUGUUAUAGAAAUUGGGAGAUGUAAUCGGUUAAGUUACUAAUUUAGGAUUAAUCGUAAUCGAGAAUUAAUCGGGUGAAAAUCAAAUAAGUUUUUAUUAAUUUUUUUUAAUAUUUAGUUAUCAUUAUAUUAGUUAUUUAUUGAAAAAUAUAUUUACUAUAUCAUAAAUUCUAUAAUUGCUCGUAUUUAAAAUGAUAUAGUAUUUUAUUUUUAAUAAAUUAUUAUAUAUUUUUUGAUUAAAAAAAUUGUAAAAAUAAAUCGGAUUUCAAAAACUAAAUUGAUCUGUAAUAUUAUACAAAAAGUAAUCAAUUAAAUUGGAAAUUUUUAAUACACUGCGGGAAAGUAAAAUGUUUUACACGUCUUCAAAUUUUAAGCAAUCCAAUUCAGUCAAACGCUCUAUCCAAAUGGAAUGAUCUGAAUGUGAUGGAAGGUAAUAAUUCAGAAUUUGAGACAUUAAUAUUUUAAAUUUGAGACAUCAAUAUUUUAAAUUGUAAUAAUGAAAGCCAACAAUUGAGUUUUGAAGGAUUUUAACACAUCUUUUGUUAAAAUCUUGUAGGCUUUUGAGAGAUUUCCAACAUUGUAAAAUACACUAGUAAAACCAUCAGAAUUCACUAUUAUAAAAUUAAAAAAAAUCUUUUUUUCUAAACAUCAUCAAUUUUAUAAUAUUUAAAAUUCUAAUAUGAUAUCUCAAGAUUUUAGAAAAUUAUUUCUUAUUUUUGUCCAAUAUCAUAGUAGUAUAAUCAACUUUUUCGGUACUAGUUGAAUAAUUAUGGAGAAUUUGUUUGCAUGAACUAUACUUUUUAAAGAAAAAUGUAUCUUUCACAAAAUUUCAAUUUUUUUAAAAGAUUUCCAAAAUUACAAGGGACACUAGUAAGUUCAUCAGAAAUUUUUUAUUAUAAAAUAUUUAGAAAAUAUAUCUACAUAUCACCGGUUUAUAAAAAUAUUUAAAUUUUUAAUUCAAUAUCUCGAAAUUUAAAAGAUAAUUUACGAUUCUUAUUAUCAAACUUUUAGGUGGUGUGUUCGACUAAGAUUUAAUGGAUUGUAUUUAAUUUUUUGAUUUUAAUGAAUUGUAUGUGAUUUUGAUUUUAUGCAGGUUCUUGAUAAAAUGUCGUAGAGUUGAUGUAGAUUUUUCAAGAUUUAAGCACAAUAUUUUAAAAUCUCAUCAAUUUUGUUGGGAUUUUAAAAAUUUUAAGAUACACUGAAAAAUACCAAAAAAUCAAUCAUUUUAUAAAAUCCAAAAAAUCCAUCAUCAUUUGAAACAAUCCAAUCGAACAACAUUGAAUUUUUGAACAUAAUUUAAUAUUCUGAUUGAAUAUCACCAUAUUUCAUCACAUGAUAUAAAACCUCAAUUGAAUAAUUCAAGAUUUUAAUAAAUUUUAAAUAAUCUCAAUUAAUACGUUCAAAAUUUGUGAAUGAAGAAAUCUUAUAAAAUCUCAAUUGAAUAUAGUGUCUUGUUUGAAUUGAAUAUUCAAUUGAAACAUCGGAUUUUUAAAGAUAAUUUAAUAUCCUAAUUGAAUAUCACCAGAUUUCAUCACAUGAUAUAAAAUCUCAACUGAAUAUCUCAAGAUUUUAAUAAAUUUCAAACAAUCUCAAUUAAUACUCCCUCCGUCCCUUUUUACUUGUCACCUUUGUUAUUGUGCCGGUCAAAUUGAUCAAAAUUUGAUUGAAAUUUAUUAAUAUUUUAUCAAUUAAAAAAAGUUAAAAAAUAUGUAAUCGGAAAUAACUUUUAAUCUACUUUAAGAUGUAAUUUUCAAUUUUUUAAAAUAAUAAAAGAGUGACUUAUAAUUUUUGAUUAAAAAUUAGUUAAUUUGACAAACAAAAAUAAAAAUAUGACACUAAAAAAAUACAAUAACUAUAUUCAAAUCUCUUAGAAUGAAAAAUAUCUUUUAAAAUCUCAAUUGAAUAUUGAAUAUAACGUCUUGUUUGAAUUGAAUAUUCCUUCAUACGAAUUGAGAAUUGAAUGCAGCCCACAAUCACAUCACAUAUAUAUAUUUGUAUUAUUUCAAUCGCUGUGUUCUUGUGUCUCCUCUCCUUAAAAAACUAAAAUGGCGAUACAACUUACAGGAUUGCAAACAAGUCACGGCAGAGUCACGGUUCUAGUUUGAUCUAAGAUAUUACAAUUUAGUGUUAAUCGGUAAGAAGUUAUCAAUUAAUCUCUUUAAGUUCGCUGUUUACACCUCUUUGCCUCUUUAUUUUUCCUUCAGGAUUAGGGCUUUUACGAUUCAUAAAAUUGAUUGUUGUAAACUGGGUUCCUAAAUUCAGGUCUUAAAUACAAGGUGGAAGGCUAUAUUCUUUGAUAUUUAUACAUCAUAAUUCAGAAUUGUGCUUCCUCAGAGAUCAACGAUUUACUCCUGAGACUCCUAAGGCUUGAGGUAUGUAUACAUAUUUACUCAAUAAUUAACCCUCCGUUAACUGCCUAAUUGUGCUUAAUUGUCAGAGUGUAUUACUUAACUGUUUUGGAGUUAAAAUCUUAUACCCAUGGACUCUGAUUAAAUAUGUUUCAGAUGUGGUGAAACCGAAACACACUCUCCGUUCUUUCUUUAAAAGUAUAUCAGAACCUUAUAUAACUGAAGUAGGCACUAAUCAAAGUGAAACUUCUGUGUGUUGGUUGGGGUGAAUGAAAAUGAAAGGAAUGUAAUGAAAUUUGAAUUACAAUUUUGUUGAAUGUUUAAUAAUUUCAUUCCUUUCACUAUUCCAUUCCUAUUAUCCUUAACUAGAGCUCAAACCCUCCACUUUGUGAAGGAAUGUAAUAUUCUUUAUCAUACCUAUUUUCUACUCAAAUCUCAUUUAACAAAAUUUGCAUUCACUCCUUAUUCAAAGGCCUACUAUGACAAGAUGUAUAAAAAUGGAAUAGCAGGGAAUUUAAUAACUACUCCAUAUCGGGAGAAUUCAAUCGUUUAUAUGAAUGAAAAAGGAAAUUCAAUAAAUCCUCCUCCAUGGAAUCAGUUGAAUGAAAGUAUUUACGAUAACAUUGGAAUCCUGACCAUGAAAGAAAUUGAUAAAUUGGUGUUUGAAGAUCUCUUAAAUUGGUGUUUGAAGAUCUUCAAGCCUAGUAGGAUCCUCAUGCAACAAUUUAUCAAUUUCUUCUAUGGUCGGGAUUCCAGUGUCAUCUUAAAUGCUUUCAUUCAAUUGUUUUGUUGGAAGAAGAGUUAUUGAAUUCCUCCUCGUUUCAUUCAUAUACACGUCUGUCUUCUCCCAACUGUUCUGUGAAGUAGUUAUCGAAUUUCUUACUAUUGCAUUCUUAUACAUUUUGUCACAGGACUUAAUCUAGUCUAAUCCACCAACAGUAGCGACAUCGUCGUAAUGAUUAUUGCCUUCAUAGUUCAUUGUUCCUUCAGCACCACAACUAUUAACUUUACCAAGCUUUUUCUUCAGAUGGACAUACUAGUAGUUUUUAAUGUCAUCAUGAGUUCUACCAGGCAGGUGUGCAGCAAUGGCAGCUUAUCUAAACAUACACGAAAUCUAUUUAAAGUCCUCCCUCCUACCCCCUAUUAUUUCCUUUUAUUUUCACACAUUCCAUUCACCCCCUACCAAACACAACAUUGAAUGCUUUGUAGCCUAUUGUUGAGCCUGUUGAACCUAAACUAAUAUUUUUUAUAGUAAUAGUUUUAGAAUAAUGAAUACAUCUAAAUAAGUUUUCAAAUAUCUCUUUUAGCAAUUAGCAACUUUAUGUAUACAUAUUUACUCAAUACUUAACCCUCCGUUAACUGCCUAAUUGUGCUUAAUUGUCAGAGUGUAUCACUUAACUGUUUUGGAGUUAAAAUCUUAUACCCAUGGACUCUGAUUAAAUAUGUUUCAGAUGUGGUGAAACCGAAACACACUCUCUGUUCUUUCUUUAAAAGUGUAUUAGAACCUUAUAUAACUGAAAGGCACUAAUCAAAGUGAAACUUCUGUGUGUUGGUUGGUGUGAAUGAAAAUGAAAGGAAUGGAAUGAAAUUUGAAUUACAAAUUUGUUGAAUGUUUAAUAAUUUCAUUCAUUUGACUAUUCCAUUCUUAUUAUCCUUAACUAGAGCUCAAACCCUCCACUUUGUGAAGGAAUGUAAUAUUCCUUAUUAUACCUAUUUUCUACCCAAAUCUCAUUUAACAAAAUUUGCAUUUACUCCUUAUUCAAAGUCCUCCCUCCUACCCCCUAUUAUUUCCUUUUAUUUUCAUUCAUUCCAUUCACCCCCUACCAAACACAACAUUGAAUCCUUUCUAGCGUAUUUGAGAUUGUAUCAUUAAACACAUAGGCCAAUACAUUAUUCUUUUAAUUGUCCUAUUUAAAAGACCAAGACAAAUGAGUAAAUUAAUAAAAGUGUUGUUAACGGUUGCCAUUGAGAGUUUGAUGGCGGAUAAUUAUCUUAUCUUCCUCGGGGGUAAAAUUUCACCGAUAUCAGGGUUAAGAUGAUUCACCUACCUUAAUCUACAACUCUUACCAUUCCUAUGCAACCCUGUUAAAUUACAAAAUUAAUCAGGAUAUAUAACCAAAUACAAACUCGCUAAAAUGAGACAUAAAUUAAUAGCAUAGUUUAACAAAAAAAAAGUACAUAUAUACCAGCAAGUUUAGGAAGGGUUGUCUAAUUGCAUGUAUCAUGUUUUUGGACGUAAGAUACCAAUUUACUAUCUUCUUCAGAAGUCCAUGCUUCUUUCGUUUUUGCUUUUAUUUUCUCAGCCGACCUCCUUAUCUCUCUUUCUCUUUAUCAUUGACUAUAUAUAUGUAAGAGAUAAUGAGGUCAGAGAAUGAAAGAGACAAAGGAGCAUGGACUUUUGAACAAGAUAGCAAGUUGGUGUCUUAAGUCCAAAAACAUGGUACAUGCAAUUGGACAUUCGUUCCUAAAAGUAGUGGUAUAUAACUGUUUUUUUUGCUAUAAUGUGUUAUUAAUUUAUGUCUCAUUUCGGAUGAGUUUGUAUUUGGUUACAUAUCCUGAUUAGUUUCAUAAUUUAUUAGCGUUGCAUAGGAAUGGUAACAGCUAUAGAUUAAGGUGGAUGAAUCAUCUCAGCCCUGAUUUGAAAGGGGAAAUUUUACUACUGACGAAGAUCAGAUAAUUAUCCGUCAUCAAGCUCUUAAUGGCAACCGGUACUGGCUCUUUUAUUUAUUCAUUUCUCUUGGCCUCUUAAAUAGGACAAUGAAAAUAAGAAUUUAUUAGCGUACGUGUUUAAUAUACAAUUUUAAAGCCGCUUAUUCGUAAAAGCAAUUGCCUUCUCCUGAUUAUUCUGUUGAGUAGUUAUCGAAUUCACUACUAUUACAUUCUUACACAUCUUGUCAUAGUAGGCUUUUAUGUAGUCUAAUCCACCAAUAGUAGCAACAUCGUCAUAAUGUUUAUAGUCUUCAAAAUUCUGUUUUCCUUCAACACCACGACUGUUAACUUUACCAAGCUUCUUCUUCAGAUGGACAUGCCAGUAGUUUUUAAUGUCAUUAUCCGUCCUACCAGGCAUGUGUGCUGCAAUGGCAGCCCAUCUACACUUACACGAAAUUUAAAUAAAAUUUAAAGUGUCAAAUGCAUUAACAUAGUAACAUAAAUAUUAUUAAAGAACAAAACAUUUCAAUUGAAAUCCUUAACUGAUAUUUUUUAUAGCAAUACUUUUAGAGUAGUUAAUACUUGUAAAUAGUAAUAAAAUCUUGUUUGACAUUUUUAUUAGCGGUUUUGAGAUUGUAUCAUUAGACACAUAGGCCAAUACAUUAUUCUUUUAAUAGUCCUAUUUAAAAGACCAAGACAAAUGAGUAAAUAAAAGUGCUGUUACCGGUUGCCAUUGAGAGUUUGAUGACGGACAAUAUCUUAUCUUCCUCGGGGGUAAAAUAUCACCGAUAUCAGGGCUAAGAUGAUUCACCUACCUUAGUCUACAACUCUUACCAUUCCUAUGCAACCCUGUUAAAUUACAAAACUAAUCUGGAUAUAUAACCAAAUACAAACCCGCUAAAAUGAGACAUAAAUUAAUAGCACAGUUUAACAAAAAAGGAGUCCAUAUAUACCAGCAAGUUUAGGAAGGUUUGUGUAAUUGCAUGUAUCAUGUUUUUGGACGUAAGAUACCAACUUACUAUCUUCUUCAGAAUUCCAUGCUCCUUUUGUUUUUUCUUAUAUUUUCUCAGCCGACCUCCUUAUCUCUGACUAUAUAUAUGUAAGAGAUAUUAAAGAAUUGUUUAAAUGAGUUGCAUACAGAGUUGAUAUUUAUAGAUAUAAACCAACUAUUUAUACUUAUUCGUACAAAAGUAAAUAUUUUUUUGCCCCGGGCGCAAAUAUUAUUUAAUAAUUCUGGAUUUUUAUUCCUUCGCCCAGACACAUUAAAACAAUAUUAUAUUCAAAUUUAUUGAUUUUUCUAGUACAAACUAAAGUUUUUCUCUUGUCAGAUGAACAUACUCGAAUGGUACAUUACUCGUACAAGAAUAUACUCCAUAGAGAGGAAUUACUUUCUCGUACAAGAAUAUAUUCUGUAAAGAGGAAUUUCUUUCUCGUACAAGAAUAUAUUCCAUAAAGAGGAAUUUCUUUCAUUCAAGAAUCUGUCGAGUAUGUACACUUGACAAGGAAAAACUUUGGUUUGUCAUAGAAAAAUCAAUUAAUUUGAAUAUAAUAUUGUUCCCAUAUGUCUAGGGCCAAGGAAUAAAAAUUCGUAAAUAUUAAAUAAUAUAUGGGCCCGAGGGAAAAGAAUCUCUACUUUUGUAAGAAUAGGUAAAAUAGUUGGUUUAUAUAUGUAAAUACCAACUCAAUGUGCAACUCAUUUCUGUAGUUUUUUCUUAUCUCUUGCAUAUACAUAGUCGAAAUGGAGAAAGAGAGAUAAUGAGGUCAGCUGAGAGAAUGAAAGUGGCAAAGGAGCAUGGACUUUUGAAGAAGAUAGCAAGUUGGUGUCUUAAGUCCAAGAACAUGGUACAUGCAAUUGGACAGUCGUUCCUAAAAUUGCUGGUAUAUAACUUUUUUGUUUUGCUAUAAUGUGCUAUUAAUUCAUGUCUCAUUUCGGAUGAGUUUGUAUUUGGUUACAUAUCCAGAUUAGUUUCGUAAUUUAUUAGGGUUGCUUAGGAAUGGUAACAGUUGUAGAGUAGGGUGGAUGAAUCAUCUUAGCCCUGAUUUGAAAGGGGAAAUUUUACUACUGACGAAAAUCAGAUAAUUAUCCGUCAUCAAGCUCUCUCUAUGGCAACUGAUACUGGCUCUUUUAUUUACUCAUUUCUCUUGGCCUCUUAAAUAGGACAAUGAAAAGAAGAAUUCAUUAGCGUACGUGUUUCGUAUACAAUCUUAAAGUCGCUAAUUCGUAAAAACAUUUGCCUUCUCCUGAUUAUUCAGUUGAGUAGUUAUCGAAUUCACUACUAUUACAUUCUUACACAUCUUGUCAUAGUAGGCCUUUAUGUAGUCUAAUCCCCCAAUAGUAGCAACAUCGUCAAAAUGUUUAUAGUCUUCAAAAUUCUGUUUUCCUUCAACACCACAACUGUUAAUUUUUUAGGUUGAAGAUUUCCUGGAAAUGUUUUUUUUAAAAAUUUAAAUCUAUGUUACUAUGUUAAUGGAUUUGACACUUUAAAAUUUAUUCAGACUUCGUGUAUGUGCAGAUGGGCUACUAUUGUUGCACACCUGCUUGGUAGGACAGAUAAUAACAUUAAAAACUACUGGCAUGUCCCCAAAACUGACAUAUAUAAGGGGACAAUGUUCUGUACUUCAUUGGUUUCCAAGUCUUGAAAAUAGACUGAUCAAAUGAUCAAGGUUACUGUGUACUUAUAAUGAAUAAAUAUACUUGAGUCCUGCUUAGUCAAACAUAUAUGAGAUUUUGUGCUUUUGUGUAUCUUAAGUCAUAUAUAGUUUUACCGCAAGCUUAGCAUACCCGAAAGAAAGGUGAAAUCUUGUUACUUGAUGUAAUUACAGUUUUGAGACUUCCUCCAAGACACAUCAGCAUUACAUAUGAUACUGAAUUUAAGUUACAGCUGG